GUUCAGUCUACUAAGUAUUGUCAUUUGCUGAGAGAAGGUGUGUGCUCCAGAAGGAGUUUUAACCUGGAGGAUCAUUAACUCUUUCAGUCAGUUGGGCGCGGCGGUGGCUCUGCGAGUUCGUCCUGGAAGCGUGUGCCCAGGAGGGUCAGGGAGGAGGAGUGGAAUCACUUGUUCAUGGGGGACCACUUUGAGAAGGGCCAGCAUGCUUUGCUCAAUGAAGGAGAAGAGAAUGAGAUGGUAAGAUUCUAGCCACAUUCUCCUCUUCGCAUUCUCUUUCCCCAAUCUCUGGGACACACACAUACACACACACACACACGCAGACAUGUGCAUUCAUACACACUCUUACACACUUCUCUGCACUUUGAUCUGGGGUUACACAAGAAGAGGUAAUGUCCACAAAAUCUUUCUGUCCUGUAAAUGUAACCUUUGACUGUAGAAAUUUGUUAGAAUGAAAAUAUUGUGUUCAUUUUAUCAAGAAUGUUUUCUUUUUAAGUAAAACAGAAAGGGAGAGAAACACAAUGCCACUUGAUAAUUCGUUUUUUUUUUUUUGUUUUUGUUUUUGUUUUUUUUUUGAGCCUCAUCAGUAUAGCAAGUUCUGUUCAAAACUUCUAAUGAUGCCAGCGAUCCCUGAGGUGAGGAUCAGGGUAUUCCCUGAUAGGAAGGAGCAGGCAUCAAUAGAGAAGCAGCAACACAGUUGGGUCUCUGACCUUCUUCUCUUCUCACGUAUCUUGUUCGCCUAGACUGUUGGACAGGGAAGACACAUAAAAUAUUAACAAUUAUCAGCCUACACACAUUUCUGUUUACUUCUAGAAUUUUACUUGUAGCUCCCUAGUUACAGAGAUUGCUAACAGAAAACUUUCUGUAGUUCAUUGUCUCUUUUAUUUUAGAUGUAUUUCCAUCUUGGGAACUGUAGGAAAAUCAAAGAUGACUCUCAUGUUCUUGCUGAAUUUAAAGUUAUAUUUCUCAAUUACAAUGUAAUCAAGAGAGAGUUAGAAAUGCACACUUCUGUUUAAUAAGGUCGUUCUGCUAAUUGUGUAAGCACAGUCUUUUAUGCUGCUAAUGAUAUAAUUAAAAUGUUCAAAUGUGAUGCUCUCAUCCUAUAAUAGCAUUUUAUCUUCCUAGAAUUAAUAUAUAAAUAACAAACCCCAAAGAUAUUUACUUAAAAUGUUUUGUCGGUUAAUUGCUUGAGCCUUGACUAUUAAAUUCUUUGUUUCAAAACUGGUCUUUCAAGUUUAAUCUGCUUACCUGUUCCUAUAGCAACAACAUUUUUUGGACCUUCAAGAGUAGAUCCCUUCUUCUAUCAAAGCUGAAAGAAAAAUUAUAAGAAAAUAAAAGGCACCUAAUUUCAGAUGGCUUUCUUAACCAUAUCCUUACUUCUUUCAGAUUUGGCUGCUGAGUGACAGCUGCCUUCAAGGCCCUACACAAAUGUCACCAGAAAUGGGUUUUUUGGCCCUAUGCUGGAUAUAUCCUUAUUUCUCUGGAGUGUUUGCUUAAGAGAAAUAUAUUCUAUUCCUCUUCAUAUUAAGCUGACAAUUUUAUCCUCAUCUUGAGCACUCUCACAGAAGGCUGAGACUCUAUAAUGGUGUGGCUGUCCCCCCUCCCUCAUUUACAGACAUACCUGCUGUCCUCUUGCCUACUCAUUUCUGUUCUUGGACAAUUUGUAGUUGAAAUGUCAUUAGGGAUCAUAUUUUUUUUCCUCCAGAGGAUAUUCAUAGACUUAAGAUAUCUACUACCUCUUCCCUGGUGGUACAGAUUUCUCCCAACAAAGCAGCUUUGUUAGCAGUUCAUCUUUCUACAGUCACCAUCAAUGCAUCAGGGGGUCAGCCUAGUUUUGUGUGUGGCUGUAAGCCUGGCCAGCCAGGAGAGCGUCUUUGCUGUCGAGGGGACACUGUGUUUUCUGGUGAGGAGUCAUUUGACCAGUAGUCUCAGCAGAGGUGCAGCAUUAGUAUGCUCUGGUGGCUCCCCUGUUCUGCCUGCAGAAACCUGGCCACCUGCCUGGCGCUAUUUGACACCAAAUCCCUUUCUCACUCCUCCAUCCUUUGCCCACAGCAAUGAAAUUCAAAAAUGAUCUAGAUCACUUAAAGAUAUUCCACAGGUUUUUAUGCUGAGUUUGAGUUUAUAAAGCCUUUUCUUGGGGAGUAGCUAAUUGAGUUUUCACCAUGACCCUGGAAAGUAGGUAUCAUGAUCCUCAUUGUAAAGAUGGGGAAAUCCAUCCCCAGGGAAUCUGCUCGGGGUUGCAUCAGUCAGUAAGUCCAGGGACUGGAGUGCCAUGUGGAUAAAGCUGGUAGCUGUGUGUCUCUGGAUCUGCAUUGAAAAUUUUCAGUUCUUUCUGGGGAUACUGUGUGCUCUUAACACAUUUCUUCCCUUAAUGAAAUGAGGCUGAGGAGACCAUCACCCAAGCUCACCCAGGGUCUGUUUUGGUACAUGUAAUUUGUAGUUCCUCAUUGAGUCUGUCUUCACCAACUUCCAGGUUAGUCCUUUUUAGGAAGCCAUGAUGGUCUAAAAAUGUGUCACACCAAAGCAUUUGCAGUUUCUUGACCUGUUCUUUGGACAUUGGCCAAAUAAUUUCUCUGAUGAUACGAAAUGACUUCCAAUUUCGAGAGAAAACAAUAUUCUGGGGCUUAGCCUGUAUGUCAAGAAAGAACAGGAAUAUUCCAGGCCUAAAGAUGGCUGGAGUUAUCUUUUAUUCUAAAAUAAAGAAAUAACUAAAGAGCAACACAGGUGACCUGAAUGAAUAACAACCACUAUGUGAAGCAUAAGACAGGUAGGUGUCUUAUGAACUACAGAAAGUUUUCUGUUAGCAAUCUCUGUAACUAGGGAGCUACAAGUAAAAUUCUAGAAGUGAACAGAAAUGUGUGUAGGCUGAUAAUUGUUAAAUUUCCAAAGGAAAAAAGAAUUUGUUGGAAAGAUGAGGAAGAGAAGGGGAGAAAGUGACCUUUGAAGAAGGUUCAUCCAGAUGGCUGCUUUGGAAAGGCCUCAGAUAGGAGAUGCCCAGAGAGCUCUGUGUCCAGCCAGAGACCUGGUUCUCACUAGCCUUGGGAAGCCACUUGCCUGUUAUAGCUCCAGUCUUCUUAUCUAUCAAGUAGGAGUGGUCCUUACCCUGCCUGUCUCACAGGGUUCCUAAGAGGAUCAACCGGCAACAUCUAUGUGGAAGUGUUUUGAGAAAUAAUGUUUGGAGUGUGAGCUGCUAUUGUCUGAACAAAGGUAGGAGGAAUCAGAGACUCCACAAUUACCCAAUUGAAUGAAUACUACUCCACAAAAUGAGGUCAUCCCUUCUCAUUAAAUAAGAACAAGAGGAAUAUAUAUUUUUAUUCUCUAUAGAGACCAUUUAUAAAUGGAGAGCCUCUGACUUACUUUGUAAUUGUCUUGUGUAGUGCUCAUUUAGAGAAAACACCCAUCUUGGGACUCAGUUUCUUGAUUUAUGAAGUGAGAGAAUCAGACUAUUUGGGAGUUCAAAUCACUUUGAAAUCUAAUGUCUCUUAUUUCUGUUAGGAAAGGACAUAUGAACAUUAAUGUUCGUUUCCUUAUGACAUGACUGAGUGGAUAUAUCAUGGAUUGAUUAGGGCAAACAUUGUUCACACUAAUAAAACCAUGCUGGGAAGCAUUUUGUGCCAGCAAGACUUCUCUUAAAAGUAAUAAUGCCUUGGAAAUUUUUUUCUUUCUUUCUUAGGUUUUAGCAGAUAAGGGGAAAAAAUUGUGAAUUUUUUUUCUGACUAUAAAGGUAACAUGUUUAGUGUUAAAAUAUUGAAAUGGCAAAUAAGGGUCUAAAGAAUGAAGUAGAUAUGAUUCAUGAGUUUACAUCUGGACACCAUCAAUAUUACCAUAUAGGCAACUCUUCUUCCAAACUUAAAAAAAAAUACAUACAUACGAUUCACCACUUUUUAAUUAUUUUACUACAAAUUAUUAUUAUAUAAUUUUUUUGAUAUUAUCUAUAUUCUUUUAUUUUUUGGUAUCAGAGAUUGAACCCAGGGGUGCUUAACCACUGAGCCACAUCCCUAGCCCUUUUUAUUUUAAUCUUGAGACAGGGUCUCAGUAAAUUUCUUAGGUCCUUGCUAAGUUGUUGAGGCUGGAUUUGAAUUCUUAGUCCUCUUGCCUCAGCCUCCUGAGCUUGCUGGGAUUAUAGACAUGUGCCACCGUGCCUGGCUUAUGUUCUCAAAAUUUUAUCUGUUGUGCCUGUACCAUGAAAAUACUGUGUAAUGGUGUACAACUGCACAUCUUUUCCCAACUCCAUAUUCAGAGAUAUCACAUUUGUAGUUUCAAAUUAAUAAUAUUGGUAGUGAUUAUGUCCUAGAAAUCUGUGCAUCCUACACUAGGAGAAACUCCAUUCUGCCCCUCCUUGAAGGACGGUUGAUAAGUAUUUAUCAACACGCCACUGAGAAUGUCAUUUCCUCAUGACUGUCUCUCCUCCACCCCGAUAUAUACCCAAAUACUAUGUAGAUAUUAUCUGUUCUGUUGUACCAUGCAUCAUGGCAAAACCAAAUAAAAUCAAUCCCAACCUUUUCUUAGGAAAUGCAAAUACAUACUCACAAAUAGUUAUUUUUAAAUAAAGAAUGGAAUCAUUUAUCUGAAUAUUUAUUUCUUUAUUUAGUGGUUCUUUGGACUGACGGACCUCAUGCAUGCUAGGCAAGCAUUCUACCACUGAACUAUACCCCUCGCCCUUGUACUCCUUUAUGUUUGAAAGCUGGCCUUCUCAUUACACCUAAAAAUGUACUAUGGAUCUAUUUUUCUUUUGAUAAUUCUAGUGCCACAUGGCUUUAAAAAGUUGUAUUUGGCUGAACUGUGCUGUGUUGAAUUUCCUAUGUUGCACUUUUCUGUUAUUUCUAUUUUUGUGGCUGGGAAGGACAACUUUGUAUGUGUAUUUUUAUAUACUUGUCCUAUUGUUUUCUUAAGAUAAAAGCCUAGAAAUGGUAUUGUUGCAUUAAAGGGGAUGCACACUUAAAUUUUGAUUGAUACAUAAUGCCCUAUUGCUUUGCAAAAUGUGGUUGUAACAGUUUGUACUGAGUAGCGAUCCUUUUUUGCCAAAACUUCCUUUCUCUUCAGACUUGCCAACGUAGAACAUUUUCAAUCUUUUUAACUCCGGCUCAUCCGUAUGUGAAAAUGAUAUUUUAUGGUUGUGCUAUAUUUGCAUUUCCUUAAUUGGAGGUUAAAUAUGUCUACAUAUUCAUUGCCACUUCUAUUUUUUGACUAAAAUCUCUUAAGUUGUUGCUGAUGUUAUACCAAGUAGGAUUAUGCUAAAUAGUUAAUUUAACGUCUGCAUGUUUUAAGAGAAUAGAAUGUGAUCUAUCUUGUUUUGUUUUACCAUGAUGCAGUCUGUGAACAAAUGGAUGAUAUCCAAAUAUGAUAUUAUUAUUGUAUUUGGACAUGUGUGGAGAAAAAAUAAAGGACCUCAUAGGAAACAAUAUGUUUGGUGGAGUGCUGGGAAAUAUUUAACAUAAUUAAUCAUGUUAAAUACUGGGCAGCUAAAAACUAGUGAAUGUGGAAAAUCAAGAGAUGCUGUUUCAACUUCCAGGUCAUUUCUGAGAACCUAGCACCAAGUUAGUGUUGCAAGGGGCAUGUGAUGUGCCAGUGGGUGGUGUGUGGUCUCAGUCCCAUUGGAAGUCCUGCUGUGCCAUCUGCGUGAACUAGGGACAUUUGUCCUCACUGAGUUGUUGGCUCACUUUGAUAGCUGAAGUUUGCCUUUUCUUCUCUAACACCCGGGAGCAGAAGCACCUCCCCCACCUCAAUAGCCACUUAUUUAUUAUGCUCAGUGAGCACCUCCGAGUUGGUUGCCAGUGUUAAGUAGUGAACCCGCAGAUCUCAUAGUGGAGGGAUUGUGUUCAGGCUGAGACAUUUUGUCAGUUGAAAUGUUCAGGAAGCUGGGCUACUGGCCAAGUCUGAUGUCUUUAUUCUCAAUUCAUUGCUGCAGAACUCCCAUGAAGUCGACUCAUCUUUGAUAUAAACUCUUGAGGAGUGAGAUUUAAUUGCUUCAGGAGGACAAGGGACCCUGCUUGAUUCACCUUUCUGUGGCCUUCUCCUUCCCUUUCCUGCUCCCCUUGGAACUGUGCACAGUACCUGGAACAGACAAGCAGGGCAUAUUUGACAGUAUAACUGCAAGCUCCAAUAACCUGCAAUUUUACAUUAGGAGAACAGGCCGAUGGCCGAGUUCAAAAGUAGACCUGGUUUGAGUAAUUUUACGACAAAGCUAGAAAAUUUUGUUAUUUAUUUGGAAUGGUCAAUCAUUCUACGAAUUUGUCAAUUGGCUUUCCUCUCCUGCAAGCGUCAACAAGGCUUAUUCUUCAGAGUUAAUUAGCCGUACAACACUAUUUUUCUAUGAGACACUUCAUUCUAUCCCUUCAUCCAUUCAUGUAUGAACUCAACAAAUAUUUAAGAAACCUCUCCUCUGUGCCAGGAGGCCUCUGGGCUAACCAAGGAGGAUUUUGAGUGAAUAACAAACAGCUUCUGUUUUCAAGGAGCUCACAGCUGAGAGGGCAAGACACAGUUUGUGGGGCCUAGUGAAAAAUGAAAAUGAGGUGACCUUUGUUCAACAAUCAUUAAGAAUUUCACGAUGGUAAUAGCUGUGCAUUAAACUAAGUGGAGGGUCCUUCUGAGUGCAGAGCCCUGUGAGACUGCUCAGGACUCAUGCCCGUGGAACUGUCCUUGCAAGUGGAGAAGCCUUGGGUGCAAAUGUAACGGUCCAAUGAUGUGGUGGGUGCCAUUGUGGAAGUUGUGCCUAUGGAGUUGAGGGAACAUGGAAGAAGGAACAAUCAACUCUGAGUAAUCUUCAAGGGCAAAGAUGGCAUUUAAUUUCCCCAGAGGGAUAGGUAAGAUUUUAAAAGACAUCUGAAUGCAUGUGCAUUUUAUAUAUAUUUUUAAUGAUUCUCAAACAUUGGUCAAUGAAAUAAUUGUACUAGAAUCAUGUUGGGAAUAUAUAAAAAUAGAUCCUUAGGUCCUGUUGUAGACUUACUGAAUUAGAAUCUUUGAUGGUAGACAUCACUUAAUCCAAAUGGUGGUGACACCGGACUGGCUGACAGUGUGGAAGCCACUGGAAGAUCUGAAAAAAGAAUAACAUGGUAGGCUUUGCCUUUCUAAAGAAAUGAGGUGUGGAAGCCACUUGAAGAUCUGAAAAAAGAGUAACAUGGUAGGCUUUGCCUUUCCAAAGAAAUGAGGUGCGGAAGCUUGGUUGGAGGAAUAAAGAUCAGUAAGGAGGAGUUUGAAAUAGCCCAGGUGAGAAAGUCAGGACUAAUCCACAGAUUAAUCAGAGAAGAUGAAUAGAGUAAGGACUUGAGAUAUUUAGAAGUUAGAAAUAAAGAGACUUCCUAAUCCAUAGACUAUGGAAUAAGAGUGAUGGGGUGAACAGGAUGAGUAGUUACUAAGGCUGUCUCCAAGGCUCCUACCUUGUUCAAUGGGAAAGAAUGAUGCUGCCCUUGGGUCUCAGAGGAAAGCAUAGAAACAGGGAGGGGAGUGGGGAUUGUUAUAGUUGCAAAUUUUAAUGUUUAUUUGGGUCAAGUCCAGGAUAAUAACUAUACACAUAGUAAUGUAUUUAAUACUCUCAACAACUCUAUGGGAAAUUAUCAUCUUUUUAUAAAGAUGCAUGGGACUGUUAAAUGACAUACUCAGGUUCAUUUGGCUAAGUAAUGUCAGACUAUGGCCUAAGUCCUUCCCUUAAACAAUGGUUUACUGCCUCUUGGUUUUGCAAAAUUUUGGAUGUGCUAUUUUUUCUUGUUAAUGGUGGAAAAAACAGCAAGGUGUAACUGAAAAAAAAAAUUCAUUAGGACUGAGACCAAUGUUUUCUUGUUGGCUCUGCUGUCAUUAAUUCCAAUCAUGGUCACAUUGCUUGGACUUUGCCUUACUUACAAGGUAGAGAUAAUAAUAUCUUACUGGUUUGAACCAGGCUUAACGUCUGCUACUGGUUUCUUAAGGUCCUUUCCAACAUACUCACAAUUUUUAAAAAUUUAAAAUAAGUACUUAAAAUCUCUGUGUAACAUUUUAAGAAGGCUCAGUGAUACUGUUGAUUUUUUUUUCAAGAUACUGUGAGUUUUUUUAGUCAAGGAAAGAAAAAACAUAUCUGGAGACAUUAUGUUAUGUUGGAUUAGAAAUUUAUGGCAGUUGCUGAGUACAUUACCCAUGAAUGAAGGAAUAAGAGUAUUGGUCGUGGUUAACCAACACAGAAUUAUAUGUGUCUUCAGCCCAUAAAAGACAAAUCUUCAAAGGAGUUGGUGAUUUGGUCAUGUAUCCAGAGCAGAUUUAUUCCUGAGUUACAGUUUAAAGGUUUUGUGAAGACUAAAGACUAGCCAGAGUGGGACUGCCCACCUAAAUGACCUGCAACUAUUUCCCAGUGCCCAUCACAUGCACCUUGAUGAGCUGCCUGAAACGGCCUCCUCAACUUCACCCUCUGCCUAAGGCUACUCUUACGGACAAUGAACACAGCUAUGCCCUGGAUGUCUGCUCAUCAAAAGAACAAAGAGGAGGUCCAGAUGUCCUGCAUGCUUUCCCGGAGAAAUAUGUCCUUCAGGCCAGGACACUCUCUGACUUCAAUGGGUGCAUGCACAUGGCCCUGCCUGAGAUUAUAAUCACCUUUUACAUUUACAGAAUCAAUUAGAUUUUUGGGAGACCCAUAGUUGGAGGACUUUAAAACUCUGAUACUCAAGUUUCAGAAUCAGUACUUAGAAGAUGACACAGUGAGGUACAAUAAGUAUUUUGAGGCCAACUCCAAACCAAUAGUAAUGAAAAAUUAAAUUUGGGUAGCUAAGUGGAAAAAUAUAAGUGGGGUUACUUCUAUCUGGUUUUUAAUGGAAAAGUAUAAUUGAUGAUUGUUUCAGUACACUCCUUCGACUUGGAAACACCAGGUAUCCCAAUUAUAUUUCACUUUAGAGGAAAAAACAACUACAUGAAUACUUUUGCUUUGGAGCUGGCCUCAAAACAUGGAUCGAUCCUCACAAAUUCCUCUUCUAUGUACUGAUUCUGAAACAUUGGGGCAGGAGGUCAGGUCAAAGUUUCAAAGUACCCCAACUAUGGGUCUCCAAAAAAAAAAGGAUACUGUAAAUGCUAAGGUGAUCUCCAAAAAAUUAGAUACUAUAAAUGCUAAGGGCUCUGCACAAAUACCCACCUAAGCUAAUUCUUUUAGCAAUCCCAAGAGACAAGUAUUCACUUUCUAGUUUCUCUGACCACUCAAAUGUAGUCUGCUCUUCCCAGAAUAUAAAAUACUGUGCUCUUUCCAGAAUAUAUUAUAUACUUUUGGUGGAGGUUGAGGUUUUACUGUGCUGCUCAGGCUGACCUCCAACUCUGAGGCUCAAGAGAACCUCUUGCCUCAGUCUCCUGAGAACUGGGAUUACUGACACCUGACAUCAUACCUGGUUAUGCACUUUUUUAACCAGGAGCAUGUCUUCCCUGAUCCCCACAGUCAGCAUCCUGCUCAUCCAUCAAAACCCACCUCCAAUCUGAUUUCCUUCACAAAAUCACAAGGGAACCUGUGGUCAUACUUCCUUUUCAGUCUAGGUUUAAAUUCCUGUUACUGAUAUUUUCAUCAAGUUUUUACAAGACUGUGUGGCAGCUUUUUUAAAAUUAAGUUUUAUAUUAGAGUCUUGUGUUUAUUCUUCUCCCCUAAUAGCCUGUGAGUUAUUGUCAGAGACAGGUGUCAUGUUUGUGUCUGUAUCUUACGUGUUUACUUAAUGAAUUCCUGAUAAGCUGAAUUGAAGAUUUUUGUGCAUGUAUUACAAUAGUUUCUUCUUUCCUGACCCAACUGGGUUGUCAAUCCUGAUUUUACAAAAGAAGACACUGAGAAACCACAUAAUCUGCCCAACACUGGUAUUUAAGAUGUAGCAAAAAUUGAACCUAGGUAGGUUGACGCCAAAGCCCCUAUUCCUAAUUCUUGAAAGUCAACUGCCUUCAUUUCUUUGUGUUUGCUGUGGCCUAUUCUUGCGUUGACCAUGACAUAAACUGUGUGUAUUAGUUUAACAGUUAAUGUUGAACUUGUGUGAAACAAAACCCACAGGCCUGUUUUAAUGAAAGUCAUGGGUCUCAGAUCCUUUGGGCAUGGAAAUGAGGAGGGGCAGAGGUGCUGGAGUUCCAUGACCUGGAUGCCCCUUUCUGCACCACAGAAGUGAACUCUUAUGCUCCUCAGCUGCCUUGGUGGCAGCCUCCUGACUUGCUGGCGGAGAUGGAGAGGGUUAUUUAUUCCAGACUUGGUCCUAGACAGUCUGUUGCACCUGGGUUCCAGGGACUGGUGUUUGGUAGCCUCUAGUUCAUCCAUCAACCAAGCCUGUCUUACGUUCUGCAGCCUCGAUGAGGGUGUCUUGCCUCUCCUCUGCCUUAGGCUUGACUUCAAUGCAGCAUCUGAUGUCAGGAGGGUAAAUGGCAGAGCAGUUUGGCUUCUGUUCUUCCUCCAGCCAGGGGAUUUUUGCCUGUGCCCUGGUACAGCUCAUUCUUUUUAGAAGUACUUGAACUUUGCCCAUCACUGCCCCCAUUCCAGCGGUUAAAGCACUGGAGAGAAGGGUCCAGAGAAGCAAGAGGGAAUUUGAGCCUCUCUGCCUGCGGAAGCCAUUAGUCACCUCCUUUACAGCUGUGCAGUCAAGGGGACCUCUGGGCUGUGUCCUCCUUCGUCCUCAGGCUCCUUUCAUGGACUCUAGUUGGUGUCUGGCGGGAAGGGAUUCUGAGUGGAUGUGAACUCUUUUGGGGUCUGAAAACUUCUGAUAUUACCAACAUUUGCUGUCAACUACACUUGGCCUUUGUGAAAUUGUUAAAAUUUUAGCUGAUUUCCUCUUACCCACUUUAUAGCAGCCACGACUCUCCCAUCAGAAGAUGAAAACAUUGUUUACGCUCUCUCUUUUUGGAGGUGCUUGUCCUUCUUUGGAAUUUGGUUUACUUGAUUGACUUGAAAUCUUAGUUAUCUGAUGGGCUCAAUGAAAUUCAUGAUUUUGUGGGUUAUUUGUGGGUUAUUUUUUUUUUCCCCUGGUGGUUUGGGUGAGGGUGAUGUUCUUUGUAGCAUGCUACAUUUAGAAGCAAAAGUCUCUAAGAGAGACCUUUGAAAAUCAGAUAAACUGUGUUUAAUCAUUAUCCUAACCAGUUAGGUAACAAUAACUAUUAAAAGAGUAUAUGAGAUUUGUCUGGCAGACUAUUUUAGUGAUGUUAUUUUGGAUAAUUUCAGCAUAAUUCUCAUGUGCUUCCUGCUCUUGCAUCUGUAUCUUCUUUAAUUUUUUUUUUCUCAAGGAAUUUAUGUUAGGUUGAUAGAAAAAUAUUUAAAUGAUAUGACACCACAUUUUAUUUUUUUGCUGAAACUAGGAACACUUUAGCUGUUAAACAGGUGAAAAAAAAGCACAAGUUUUUUUUUUUUUUUUGAUUCAGUGUGUCAAUUUCAUACCUACAGUUGACUCAUAUUCGGCAGCUACAUAAGUUUCUUAAUUACCAUGUUAUUAUCUGACUCUUACCUAAGAAAAUUCUUGUUUUCUGUUCUCUCUUUCUCUCUGCUGCCUGUCUAGCUUUUAGCAAACUUUCAUAUUAGUUAGAACUUUUUUGGUUACCAGGAACUGAAAAAUUCAACACAAGUUAUCUUAGGCAAAUCAAAGUCAAUGUGUUGGCUCAGUUUGAAAAUCCAAGUAUAUCCAACUCAUCUUCAGGCACAGUUUGAUCCAGGGGCAAAAAAAGUGCAUCAGUACUGGCCUUUCCCCUUUUUAUUUGAUGUACCUCUACCAUGCUGAUUAUAUUCUCAGACUCUGAUAACUCUAGGAUGACAUGACCAACCAUCCCAGUAGGAAGAAGGACUUGCCUUUCUUUGAAGAGUAUCAUCCCAGUACUCAUUUCUCAUGGUCUCUGAUUGGACCAUGUUUGCUCUUCCCAUUCAGCGUGGCCUGGAGAAUGCUGUGUUUGUAGUCACAUGGCCAUUCUUGGAGUGGGUCAGAGUCAACUCUACACGAGGCACAUCAGCUGGGAUUAGUAAAGGAUGUAGUUUGCCAUAAGAAAAUGGAGGCGUUGUAUACCAUUACCUGUAGUAAAAAAAAAAAUGGGGUUGAGCGGUCUAAACAAGAAAUAGGAACAGACAAACAGGCACACAAACGGAAUUUCCAAUCUGAUCAUCAAUAGGUGAACUGGACUUAAAUACUGUUAAAAUAGUCAGGUACCACAGGGUGAUUUUCUUUACUGGAAAAAAAUAUAUAUAAUGUAGCUUUCAUUUGGUAUUGUAAAUAUCUGUGUGCAGACAGAAAACAGCUCUUCAAAAAAUAUAUUAUUUAUUUCUCUGAUUUUAAAAAUGAAGCAUGUUCAAUGAUUAAAAUGUGCACAAUACAGAAGGUCAUGUUGUAAGGGAACAGUCACCAUGAUGUCAACAUCCAAUGCACAGAGGGAUAGUAGGACUUUGAGGGAAGCAGCUUUCUUCCAGUUCUUUUUAGGCCCACACUUUUGUUUCAACUAAAUUUGAAAUCAUACUCCAUGGUUUUAUGUUGUUUUUCUCUCUGACUUAAUAUUAUUACAUAUAUUCUUGCCAUAUUACUAAAAUUCUUAAUAAACUUUAUUUUCAUGGCCAUGUAAUAGUACUUAAUAAUUGCCCUUUUGUUAUACACAGAUUGCUUUCAGUUUACUGCUAUGAGUCAUGUUUCAGUAAACUCCUCUGAGUAUGAAUCUGGUCUGCAUUUUGCACAGGCUAGAGAAAUUUACUUAUUUAUUAUUAUUAUUAUUAUUUAAAUUUAUUUUUUAGUUUUAGGUGGACACAAUAUCUUUAUUUUUAUUUUUAUGUGGCAUUGAGGAUCGAACCCAGUGCCUCACGUGUGCCAGGUGGGCACGCUACCACUUGAGCCACAUCCCCAGCCCUUACUUAUUUAUUUUUAACAGAGAGUCUUUCCCAGUGUCCUAAUUUUAUACCUUUUGUGCACUAUACUUUUGUAAGGUUGCUGGGGCUUUUAAUUCCCCUUCAGGAGCAGAGAUCUAGAUGAAGGUAGAACUCAUCUCCUCAUUAGUGGUUCAACUGCUGGGAGGGAUGGGAUUUUGAUACUCAAAAUGCUGUCUUUGCCAUUCACCCUCCUGGAGAAGGACGGGCUGGGAUUGUGUGAUAGGAAACUGUGACAUUUCUAUCUAAAGAUUUUUUUUUUUUAAGCAGAAGGCACGUAUUCAUCUAAAGAAUCCAUUCUGACCACAGCAGAACAUGGGGCAGGGGCAACAGGGUACUGUCCACUAACUUGGGACCUUCAGAUUUCAUUUCAGGCUUCUAUGUGGCUUCUCCCUGAGGUUCCUAUGCUAGUGUGAAUAAAUAAAUGCUAUAAUUCCUAUUAUUUUUUUUACCAAAUUCUGUAUCCUGUGUUCAGAGGGAUAGCAUUUAUUCUUUAACAAAAGUUUGAUUGUCAGAUAUUUCAAAUGUAUGGGGGAGAUGCCAGGUAUGGCGUUACAUGUCUGCAAUCCCAGCGACUCAGAAGGCUGAGGAAGGAGAAUCGCAAGUUCAAAGCCAGCCUGGGCAAUUUAGCGAGGCCCUAAGCAACUCAGUGAGACUCUGUCUCAAAAUAAAAAUAAAUAAAAGGGGUUGGGGAUGGGACUUGGUGGUUAAGCUCCUCUGAAUUCAAUCUCCAGUACCUCCCGGAAAAAUGAUGGGGAGAAAAAUCCAAUAAUCCUCUUUCUGAAAUUUCACAUAAAGUCUCAGUGAAGGAAAAAAAAAAAACAAUAAUUUUGAAUUUUAACACAUUGAGCAACAUUAAAAUAAUUAUCUACACAUUGUCCAUGUAUAAAUUAAUCAGCCAACUGAAAAAAAUAGCAAAAGAAUAUGCAAAUAAAAGGAGGACAUAUUUUUAAAUGAAUCUGUAAUGGCUUAUUGAUCAGCUAUUCACUGCUAUAUCCCCAAUGCUUAGAAAAGUACCUGAUAAUAGUAAGUAAUAUAUAUAUAUAUAUAAAAUGAAUGACAAGCCACUGCAACUGCUUAUAGCUGCAUUCCAGAAUAAUAAUUGCUUAAUAAAUACUAUAAAUUUAAUAAAUACUAUAUCAAAUAGUAUAUAAGUCCAAAAGUAAGUGAGAAUUAGAAUUUAGAGAAAGAGUUGACUGAUUUAUCACACUGCACUUGUUUCAUAGAGUUUCAGGUCAGAAGUCUCUUCAAAGUUUAUCUGACCGUCUUUCCCCUUAUUUCUCCCAUACAAAAUUUACCACAAGCAAACCAUGUCCUUCUAAGGCAGAGCUGACUAUUCAAAACAACCCUCUUCCUUCUGUUGAGUUGACAUAUGGUUCAUUAAUCUCAAUUCAUUAGUCCAAACUCUUUUGCCUUCUGGGGCCACCUGUGUAUUUAAAUAUGGUCCUCAAACACCCUCAUCUCCAUGCCUCUGGGAAUCUCUUCUUCAAUCCAAACCCUCAGUUUCUUCAGCUGCUCUCCACGUGGCACAGUUUCUUUGACAUCGGAAAAUCUUAGAAAGAUAUUCUUUAUGACACUUUUAAGAAGCCAUCCUCUCUUGGUGUGUUCUGCCUUUGAAAUCCACAGGGAUUUAGUGACAAAGGGGUACCUACCAGGAAGAGCAAGAUAGGGAUAAUUGCCCUUUGGUGUGACUAAGGUCACUGUCAACAAGGAGUCCAGACCGGUGAUGCACCUAGGGGUUAGCCAGAUUCUCGCCUUAUAAUAAUAACCAUAACAAACCUCUGUUCCCGAUUUACUAAGUCCUACCUCAUUGUGAUUGCUAAACACUUUCAUGGACUAUUUUAUUUUAAAUUCUCAAUAGCCCUGUUAGGUGGGUUACUAUCAUUACAGAUGCAAAGACUAAAGCUUUCUGUUCUUCUCAACUUCAGGAAUCUGGAAACCAUGGGUGAAAUACAACCCCUCCCCCAUUGUUUUUGUAAAUAAAAUUUUGUUGGAAAACAGCCCCUCCCCACAUUUAUUUACACAUCCUCUUCUUGUUUUGCCGCACACAGCUGGGUUGUGAGAGAGACACCAUAUUCCCCCAUUUGGCUGAGAAUAUUCUCUAUCUGGUAUUUUUACAGAAAAAGUUUGUUGACCUCUGCUCUUUUCCUCUCUGGUCUGAUCUCAGCAUUAUUCUUUUUAUUCAUAUUAUCUUAAUCUUGCCUUUAUUGCCAUAGUAAACUUGCUUGUAAGAGUUGUUCAAAUGUUUUCAUCUGCAAGUGCAGGUUUAGCGCAGUGCUGAAAGUGCCUGGGCUGGUGGUAUUUAAGGAUUUGCACAGGCUGCCGGAGGAAUCAAUAGGUAUUUAGGAGCUGCUGUAGCUUUGCUUAGAAGCUUGGUUUCUUUUUUGUAUGGAUUCUUUCAUUAAUCAUCCAUUAUGUGUCAGGAACUUCUUCUUCCGUGUCCUUUCCAUUUCUUUCUCCAAAUAGACUGGGUCUGUAGGAUCUGUCUGAUUCAUUUACUCACAUGUCCUUCAUUUUGAAGUUUCCUGGAAUCUUCACCUGCUGGAAAUAGGUGCUGCUAUUUGCAACCAAGAGCCAGUGGAUCCUCAGAGCCCCCAAAGCAUGAGACUUCUGGAGAGAAAUCACUUAGAAAUAGGGGAGUCUACCUCACUCAAUUUCUUUUUCUUUUUGUUGUUUUGUAAGGAUAUCUAGAGAUUCACAUGCAAUUGCAAGAAAUAAGGCAAGGAGAUACUGUUCACACUUUAUCCAGUUUUUUCCCCCACAGGUCACCUCUUAUAAAACCAUAGUUCAAUAUCACAACAUCAGGAGAGUGACACUGACACAGUCAAGAUACAGAACAUUUCCGUCACCACAGGGAUCCUUCUUUUUGUCUCACUAUGUCUUUAUACCUACUUUCUUCCUCUCUGUACCCCUUCCUUGAUUUCUGGCAACUGCGAAUCUACUCUUUUUUUCUAUGAUCUUGUCAUUUCAAGAAUGUUAUAUAAAUAUGAUCAUAUAGCAUGUGACUUUGGAAAUGGAUUUUUAAAAACUCAGCUGCGCUAGAGUUGGAUCCAGGUUAUUGUGUGUAUCAAGUUGGUUCAUUUUUAUUGCUGAGUAAUAUUUCAUAUGCCAUAGUUUAUUUAACUAUGCACCCAUUGAUGGAUAUCUGGUUGUUCCCAAGUGUGGUUUGUAGACAUUUUCUUCCUAUCGUAAGUUUUCCUCUUUCUCCUCUCCACAGGCUCUUUCACAAAGCAAAACUUUUUUCAUUUUGAUGAAGUCCAGUAUAUCAGUUUUUCCUUUUAUGGGCAGUACUUAAGAUGUUUUUGAGUUUAAGAAUUAUUUGGCUAGCUAUAGAUAUUUCUUUUCUUCAUUUUUUUUCUUAGUGUUUUAUAUUGUGUAAUCCAUUAUGAAUUAAUUUGGGGAUAAGGUGUUUGAGACUUACGUUUCUUUCUACCUUUCUUCCUUCCCUCCCUCCCUGAUUCCUUCCUUUCUUAUUUCCUUUCAUCUAUGCUUGUCCAGUUGUCUGAGCAGCAUUCAUUGUAAAGACUGUUCUAUUUUUUCUUCACUGAGUUGCUUUGCCCAUGUGUCAAAUUGGGUAUACCUGUGGAAGUCUGUCUUGGUUUUCUACUCUAUCUCAUUGAUUUAUGUGCCAGUGCUAUACAAUCUUGAUUAUAGCACCCAUAUAAUUAGUUUUGAAAUCAAGUGGACUGAUUGCUCCCACAUCUUUCCUAUUUUUUUUUGAAAUUUUUAUUGAUUAAAUUUUAUUGAUCUUUCUUUAUACAUCUCAGAAUUAUUUAUAAUCUAUAAAAAUAUUUAUAGGAAUUUUGAUACAUAUUGCAUUGAAUCCAUUUAUAAAUUUGGGAAAAAUUAAAAUCUUUACUAAAAGCCGUGUUUCCAAAGCAUGUUUCCAAACCAUGAACAUGGAACAUCUCUCAAUUUAUUAAUUCUUCCUUGAUUUCUUUCAUCAGUAUUUCAAAUGGGGAAAAUAUUCAGUCUCUCUGCAUUGAAUAUGUUAACUGUAGGUUUUUAACGAUGCUUCUUGUCAAGUUGAGAAAGUUCCCUUUUAUUCCUAUUUUUCUAAGUGUUCUUAUCAUGAGUGAAUAUGAAAUUUUGUCAUUUUCUGCAUUGAUUGAUAUGAUCAUGUGAUUUUUCUUCCUUACUCUGUUAAAAUGGUUGUCUAUUAAAUUAAUAUUGACUGAAUUUAUUUUAGCUGUUGAAACAGCCUCUCAUCCCUAGAAUGAACCCCACUUAGUCAGGAUGUAUCGUUCUGUUAACAUUGCUGAAUUCUCUUUGCUAAUAUCUGUUAAGGACAUUCGCUUCUAUAUUCCUGAGGGAUGUUGGUCUGCAGUUUUCUUUUUGUUUUUCUUCACUGUCUUUGAUUUUUUUUUUAAAUUAGGGUUAUGCCAACUUCAUAUAACGAGUUGAGACAUGUUCUAUCCUAUAAUUAUCCUGGAAGAGAUUGGGUUAAAGUGUUGUUAGUUCUUUAAAAGUUUGGUAGAAUUUUUCGGCAAAACUAUCUGUUGUUUUUUUUUUUUUUUGAGAAUUUAAAAAGUGCAAAUUCAAUUCUCUUAGUAAUAUAGAGAGUUAUUUAAAUUAUCUAUUUUACAUUGAGUUGUAAUUUGUGUUUUUCAAGAAAUUGGUCCUUUUUUUUAAGUUGUCAAAUUUAUACAAGUAGAAUUGUUUUUCUCAUUGAAAUGGUAUUUCUUUUUAUUUUUUUAUUUAAUCCAUGAUAUUGGUAAUUUUUUGUUUCUUUUUUUCUCUUGCUAGUAGUUUAUCAAUUUUAUUGAUCUUUUCAAAGAAGCAUCUCAUUUCUUUAUUGAUUUUUCUAUUUUUGUUUAUAACUUCAUUGAUUUCUGUUCUUAUUAUUCCUACUUUUGGUCAAGUUUCUCUUCUUUUUCUAGAUUCUUAAGGAGGGAUUAUUGUUGGGAAUUCCAUCUUUCCUAAUCUAUGUAGUUAGCGCUAUACAUAUUGAUUUUGUGUAUAGCACAUUUCAUGUUAUUUCACAGUUUGAGCGGUGUCUCACAAAUUUGUUAUGUUGUGCUUUUAUUUAAAUCCAUUUCAAUGGAUUUAAAAUUUUUUCUUAAAAAUUUCUCUUUUACUCAUGAAUAUUUAGAAAUGUGCUGUUUAGGUUCCGAGGAUUUGGAGAUUUCCUUUUAAAUUUUUGUUACUGAUUUCUAGUUUUAUUUUCUUAUGAUUGGAGAACAGUUAGUAUAGUUUCAACUCUUUUGAAUUUGUUGAGGUUUGCUUUAUGGCCUAAGAUGUGGCCUAUCUUGACAUAUAUUCCACGAGCACUUGAAAAGAAUGAGUGCCUGCUGUUGUUGGGUUGAGAGCUCUAUACAGAACAAUUUAACAAUUUUGGUUGAUGAUGUUCUUGGGUCUUCUAUAUUAUUGUUCAUUUUCUGUCUAGUUGUUUUAUGAAUCAUUAAGAAAGGAAUGUUAAAGUCCUAAACUGUAAUUAUGGAUUUGUUAAUUUCUCCCUUUAGUUCUAUCAGUUUUUGCCUGACAUAUUUUUUCAGUUGUCUUUGGUGCAUACUCAUUUAGGAUUGCCACGUCUUCUUGGUAGAUUUAACCUUUAUAAUUAUAUAAUGUUACUCUCUGUUUAUUGUAACUUUCUUUGUUCUGAUGUCUGUUUAUUCUACAUCAUAGCCUCUCUUGCUUUACUUUAUUGACUAAUGCUUACCUGAUAGAUCUUACAUCUUUUAAUUUCAACCCAUCUAUACUUUUAUGUUUGAAGUAAGUUGUACACUAUGAGAGUUGGGUUAUAAUAUUUUAUAAUUUAUACUGAUGAUCUCUGUAUUUUAAUUGAUGAAUUUAGGCUAUUUAUAUUUAAUGUAACUAUUAAUAUGCUAGAAUUUAUGUCUACCCUUUAAUUUUUGAAUUUUGCUUGCUCUGUUUUAUUGUUUCUAUUUUCUUUUUCCUGCCUUUUAUGGGUCUCUAGAAUAAUCUUUAGAGUUCUGUUUUGAUUUAAGUAAAGAGUAAUUGCUCUAAAUAUUACAUUAUAUACACAAAAUAUAAAGUUUUCUGGUAUAAUCUCUUUAACAGAUUAAAUAAAAUUUAGACAGCCUAAUCUUUUUAUCCUAUUACCCUCCCCUUUUGUAACUGUCUUAACUAUUCUAAGUGUAUAUUUAGAAACACAUCAAUCAUAAAUUAUAAUAUCUAUUUUUGUUAUUAUUUUUAUUGCAAUCAUCAAAUUUAAUUUAGAAAACACAAGAGGAGAAAAAAGCCUAUCUUUAAUUUUGCUUCUCAUGUUCUUUCUUCCUUUCUGAUAUUCCAAGAUUCCUUUUUUCAUUAUUUCCUUUUAUUUGGAGAAUUUUAUCUAGGUUUGGUGUACUGGUCACAAAUUAUCUUAGUUUUUCUUCAUUUGAAAAUGCAUUAGUUUACCUUUCAUUUCUGAUGGAUACUGUGACUGGGUAGGGAUUUUGCAUUCACAGUUACUUCUUUUUUUCAAUUUGUUUUUUUUAGAUAUGCAUGGCAGUAGAGUAUAUUUUGACAUAUUACACAUGUGUGGAGUAUAACCCAUUCGAGUUAGGAUCUCAUUCUUGUGGGUGUUCAUAAUGUGAAGUUACAUUGGUUGUAUAUUAAUAUAUGAGCGAAGGAAAGUUAUGUCUAAUUCAUUCUACUGUCUUUCCUAUUUUUAUUCCCCUCCCUUCCCUUCAUUCCCCUUUGUAUAAUCCAAUAAACUUCUGUUCUUCCCUCCCAUCCCCACCCCUUACAGUGUGUUAGCAUACACAUAUUAGAGAGAACAUUUGGCCUUGGGUGUUUUGGGGAUUGGCUUAUUUCACUUAGCAUGAUAGUCUCCAGUUCCAUCCAUUUACCAGCAAAUGCCAUAAUUUCAUUCUUCUUUUUGUCUAAGUAAUAUUCCACUGUGUGCAUAUACUACAUUCUUUAUCCAUUCAUCUGUUGAAGGGUAUGUAGGUUAGUUCCAUAACUUGCCUAUUGUGAAUCGAACUGCUAUAAACAUUGAUGUGGCUGCAUCACUGUAGUAUGCUGAUUUAUAAAGAACUAAAAAAAUUUAACACCAAAAAAAAGUACCCAAAUAACCUAAUCAAUAAAUGGGCAAAGGAACUAAAAAGGCAAUUCACUGAAGUGGAAAUACAAAUGGUCAAAAAAUAUAUGAAAAAAAUGUUCACAGUUAAUUCUUUAAACAUUUGAAGUGUAUUGUGCUACUUCCCUCAGAACUUUGUGGCUUUUGGUAAAAAAUAUGUAGUCAUUCAAAUUGUUUUCCCCUUUGAGUGUAGGUCUCUGACUGCUUUUAAGAUUUCUCUUCUUUGUUGUUAGAUUGUAUGGUAAUGACUAUUAUCCUUCUCUCCAUGAAUUUUUUUUUUUUUGUGUGUGUGUGUGUGUGUGCUUAUUCUUUUGGGGAUCCAUUCAGUUUCUUGAAUUUGUAAGUUUAUGUGUUUUACUAAAUUUGUAAGUUUUCAGCCCUGAUUUUUUGAGUUUCAAUUAUUUCCUCUUUCUUUUCUCUUUCCAGGAUUCCAAUGACGUAAAUAGUCAGAUGUCUUGUUAUAGUACUAUAGUUUCACAGGUCCCUGAGGCUCUGGUCAAAAAUUUUAAUGUGAAUUUUUCUCUGUAGUUUAGAUUGGAUAAUUUUUAUUUUUCUCUUUCACACCCUGAUUAUUUCCUCUGUUCCUCUAUACUGCUUCUGAGUCCAUCCACUGAGUUUAAAAAUUUCAGGUGUUGUACUAUUCAGUUCUAAAAUUCCAUUUGCUUAUGCUUUAUAUCUUAUAUUCUUUCUGAUGUGUUCCAUUUUAUUCAUUUGUUUUAAGUGUGCAUGUAAUUGGAGCAUUUUAAUUCUGACUACUUUAAAAUCUUUUUUUUAAUAUUUAUUUUUUAGUUGUAGUUGGUUGGACACAAUACCUUUAUUUUAUUUAUUUGUAUGUGGUGCUGAGGAUCAAACCUAGGGCCUUGCAUGAGCUAGGCAAGUGCUCUACUGCUGAGCCAUAACCUCAGCCCCUAAAAUCUUUAUCAGAUAAUUAUAACAUGUCUGUUACCUCAGUGCUAGCAUGUAUGGUUUGUCUUUUUUCUUUCAGUUUGAGACCUUUCUGGUUCUUGAAAUGAUAACUGAUUUGUUCAAAUCAAAACCUGAAACUUCUGGGAAUUAUAUUAUGGGACUCUGGAGCUUAUUUAAAAUUUUCGUCAUAGUUGGCUUCUGUUGACAUUAUUCCAGUAGGAGAAGAACAUGGUGAUGUCCUAUUAUUACUAACUGGUGGGAGAAGUUCGGGCUGUCCCCUCAGCCUCCACUGACAUGUGAAGCCUGGGUGAGGGGCUAGGUGAGAGUAAAAUGUACGCUGUCCAUUGGGCCUCCACUGACAGCUCCCUAACUGUAAGGAUUAGAAGUGCUUCACUGCUGUUCCCAGAUGGCUUCCUCUGAUGCUGUGAUUGGGGAGGGAUGGGAAAUCCUGACUCUACUAGGUUUCCUCUGACAACAUCCCAGCACUGAGAGAAAGAGAAGCCUUGUUUAGACUGGUGAGGGUGGAGGGCCAGGCUUCACAUGGUCAGAGGGGCAAGGGUACUCAAAUCAAAGUCCUAGCUUCCUGUUCGAUCUUCUCUGACACUAUCUUGCAGGGGAGCUGAAGCACAGUUUUUUAGCCUGUCUUUGGUGGUAAGUGGGGACAGGUCACACUUUUUCUGUGGUGUUCGGCUGAAAUAGAGUGGUUAUUGUAUUGAAGUUUUCUGUCUUGCUAGCUGCCCCUUUUCUGCUCUUUUGGAUAAUGAGAGCUAAUUUUUCUUGUGGUGUUUUGUUUCUGUUUCCACCCCCCUCCUCCCCCUCCCCCCUCCCCCCCCACUCUGUUCUGUUUCUGAGUUGCCAUCUUCUUCAGCUCUGAGCAUGGUAUAUGUAAGGCAGAAGAGAAACCCCAGGAACUGACCACUAUGUCAUUCAUUGCUUAAUUUCUAAGGUCACUCUUUCUUCUCUCUACUAGGGUCAUCUUCUUAAUUUUUUUUCCUACAUAGCAUUCUGGGAUUUUAGUGGAACUUAUUGGGAGAAACAGGAAAUACUAAAUGUAUGUUUUCAGAAGUGGAAGUCUAGUGAGACUUAUUUAUAAUAAUUUUGUUUUGUUUCUUUAUUUUUACUUAUAAUUUUCUGAAAAGCACAGAAAACAAUCAGGAAAUAAGUAAACAUCUCUCUUGAUUCUUUCAUGUUUGAAACCUGAUAUAUUUUCUUCCAGCUUUUUUCCUGCAUACAAUUUCUUCUAUAUUACUGAACUUAAGUUAUAAAUGCAUUUUUCACUUUGAUACAUUAUAAAUAUUUCCUCAUGCUAUUAAAAUGUAUUGUAAACAUGAAUUUAAUGAUCGAACAGUAUUCCGUUUUGUAGAAGUGCCAUAAUUCACUCAGUCUUUCUUCCAGUGUUGGGCAAUUGAUUCUCCGCAGUGUAUGUGUGUGUCUUACACUUGUAUAUAAAAUAUUUGGAGAAUUAUACCUUUUCAUUUCAGAUUAUUUCUUUAAGAUCGAUUCCUAUAAACAAUGAUUGCAUUACUCCACAAAAAGUUAUGAACAUUUUGAAGGCUGUUGAUAAAUUUACUAACUGCUUUGUGCAAAGUUGUUGCUACCUUAAGAAGGUUCCAAACACUUUUGUUUAAGAGUGCCCCUGGAACUGCCCUCUGGCCAGCUUUCAGUGCUUGCCAAAUAUCAUGGCCAAUUUAAUAGGUAAAAAUAACACCUUGCUCUUAGGCUUCCCUCCAAUCUUUUUCAAAACCAUCCAAAGUUUGGUGUAAUUCAGUUUUCCAAGGACUUAUUUUCUGUAAGUUCCUAUUCUGGAUGCUAAAGUGCCAUGCUGAACAUAGAGGUAAAAAUGGCAUGUUCUUCUCACUAAGUUCCAAGUAUAGGAACGGUCUUGGCUAAUAUGUGCCCAGCACAUGCCACCUACCGGGCCUCAUGUUAGGACUUUAUAGAAAGCAUUACUGGAUCCACAUCAACUCUUUCACAAAAGAAAUAUCAUCUGUCCAAAUGAAAGAGUGUCCUUUCCUUUGCUGUAUCCCACAGCAGCUCCCAGAUGCCAUUGUGAUAAGGAUCAAUUGAAGCAGUGGGAAAUGUUCUGGUCCUCUGGCCCUACCCCGAGAGACUGGGGGUAGCAACCCAGGCAUCUUCAUUUUAACAUAUGUCGAUGUGAUCCUGAUGCACAGGGUUGGUAGUGCCAUCUUUAGGCCUAUCUGUCUAGAUAUUAUGACUUAGAGGUAGCAGCUGUAUGACAUUAAGCAAAGGCUAAUUUUCUCACAGUUAGCAGAGAAUUUAUUAUCUAGUUGUGGAAAGAGCUGUUUCAGCAGUUUCUGGUGCCUGGUUUUGGUGGGAGAUUUCAACCCUUUAUACUCCUUUAGUGAUAAAGAGGUUACCCCUGGGGAAGCUUUGGCUGCUCUACAGGUAAAUGCACGGCAAUCACAGUGAGUAAGGGGUAGGACUCCACACAUUUGGACCACAUCUACACAUCCCUGUAAUUCCUCUUGAUAUAUCCUCCAGCAGAGACCUCCACAUCAGCCAUCUUUUCUCAACCUUAGACAAUACCCAAACUAUAUAAUUUGAACAAAUGCAAUGAGGCCCUGCAUCCAGGAUGCUGUGCAGGUUUAAAAUAGAUAAAGGUCUGUCCCUGCCUCAAAGAUCUGACUCUUUAAGGGGGACUCGUACAUUUUAUUCAACUAGUUGAAACACAAGUUCUAAUGUAAAUCGGUACUAUGGAAGUUCCUCAAAAUACUAAUAACAGAACUAUCCUAUGAUACAGUAAUCCCUCUCCUAGGUAUAUAUCAAAAGAAAAUGAAAUUAGUAUGUCACAGAGACAUCUGCACUCCCAUGUUAGACUGCAGCUCCAUUCACUGUAGCCAAAGAAACAGAAGCAACCAAAGUGUCCAUCAACUGAUAAAUGGAUGAAGAAAAUGUGAUGCAUAUAUGUAGUGGGAUAUGAUUCAUAUUAUUCAUGAAAAAGAAUAGAAUCCUGUCAUUUGCUUCAAUGUGGAUGGAACUGGAAAUAAGUGGAAAAAAAAUAAGUGAAAAAAAGCCAAGAACAUAAAAACAAAUACCAUGUGUUCUCACUUGGUAAAAAAAAAUGUUGAUCUCAUAGAAACUAGAGAGUAGAAUGAUCAUUACAAGAGACUGGGAAGAGUAGGAGGGAGGGAGAACAGAGAAGGGUGGGCUUACAGGUACAAAAAGGAUUAAGUUCUAGUGUCCUCUAGCACAGUAGGGUGACUAUAGUUAAUUAUAAUUUAUUAUAUCUGUUGAAAUAGUUAGGCUUUUGAAUAUUUCCAACACAAAGAAAUGAUCAAUGUUUGAGUUGAUGGAUAUGCUGAUUGCCCUGAUCUGAUCAUCACACAUUGUGUACUGUGUUGAUUGUCACACUGUACCCCAUGAAUAUGUACAAUUAUUACACGUCAAUUUAAAAAAAAAACCACAAAUUCUUUACAGGAGGCAAAGUGAUUAAGGUAAAUACUGUCAGCAUAUUUAUCUAGCCCCUCUCUUCCUUCUUCUUUUGUUUAUUGAGCACUUGUUAUGUGCAAGUCCCUGUUUCAGGUAUUAGGCAGACAAAAGCCUAUAUCUCAAUCUGUGGUGGAGAAUGUGGUGCAGCAGGUUUAUGCUGUGAUAACAGCACACACAGGUGCUGUGAGAACCCAGAGGAAGCUAUAGCCAGCUUCUGUGUGGCUUUGGUGGAAAAGUGCCAUUUGAAAAGAAUCUCGAAGGAUGGACAGGAGUUUACUGGCAAGCCAAGAUAAGGAAAAGGAUGUUCCAGGUUAAGGAGACACAGUGUCCAGGGGUACUGAGAUGUAAAGAACAAAGCACAUUCCGUUAGGAGAAUUGAAUGCAGCUUGAUGGAGCUGGUGUGCAGGGUGUAUGUGGUGUGUGGUGGAGUGGGACAGGGAGAACAGAGAGUUAAAGUAAAAAAAAAAAUAAAUAAAAUGGGAAGUUUAAAUAGAACUUUACACACAUCCUAAAGGGAUUUAAGAGUUCUAAAUACACGGUCAACUUCAUUUGUUUGUCCAAACUUUCCAGGAAUUAGUACCAAAAACCUCACAACCCUCAGUCUUGGAGAAAUGGGCACAAUUGGUCACUGUAACAGGGAAGUGAAAAAUCAGAACUUUAUUUAGAAAGCUCACUUUGUAGUGGGGUGGACAACCUCAGACAGAGGUGGAGCUGGACGCAGAGGCUCUUGUAGUGAUUCCAGUGAGAAGCUGAACUAGUAAGGCAGUAGUAUCAGGGAUGGAGUAAGGGAAUGGAAUGUCAGGGCUUGAGAAAUAUCUGGAAGAUAAUCAAUAGACCUUGGACUAAUUAGAUGUUUGAGAAAUGAGGAGGAGAAUAUUAAUGGAAAUUCCUAGAUUUCUGAGUCACACAAAUGAACGCAUAAUGGUGUGGUAGUGAUUCAGAGAGAGAGGGGGGAGGGUGUAGAUAAUGUUUGAUUUGGUACUUGUGAUUAAUUCUGAUGGAGGAGGUGUCAUGGACAAAGCUUCAUCUGAAUAGUACGCUUAAAGAUUGCUAACAGAUCUCCCCCACCCCAGGAGACAGAGCAAAAAAGUGGGGCUUGACAUUUGAAAAGCAAAAACAAAACAAAAAACAUUUAAAAAAUCUGCUUGAAUAAAAGCAGAGAGAAAGCAUAGAACAUCUGGAGGAAUGGUGAGUAGUUAUGGUGACAUAUUCAUUUUAAGUGUAGCUUUGCCUGAUUUGAUUCCAAUUAGACACAAAGAAAUGACAGAAGAGAAAGUUAUUGUGUUGCUCUAAAUGCAGGAUGAGGCCUGGCUAUGGAACUGCUGUAUCACAGAUGGCCCUAGGGAGUUUGCAGGAAUAUUAAGAUAGUGGUCUCCUCCAGCUACAAACAACUGUAUUCAUUCACCUGAUCUAUGCUGUGCAAAUAUCAUCAUUUUUCUAUGAGUGCCAUUAUAUGAAAAAGAUCUCAAGCACUAUACUAAGGAAAUUCCUUCUUUUGUUUGCUUUAGAUUCAAACGUAAAUUGACAUAAAAUCACAUGUAAAAUUUUUAUCAGAAUGUAAAAUAAUAAAACAAAAAUUAAGUUCCUUAUCAACAAAAACUUGGACUACUUUUUGCCAUUCUCCUGUGGGAUAAAUAUAAUUAUUCUCAAACAAAUGAAUAAGCAAACAAACAAUAGUCAUGAUGAUGAAAUCAGCUAGAGAUUGUACUUGUCCACUGACUUUAUGGAGCAUCUGAAAUCAGUAUGUCGAGGGGUUGGAGGGUGAGCAUAGCUAUGAGCAAAUGAACCCCUGCAGAACAGCCAGCCCUUUAGUGAAUGGGUUUCAUGAAACAUGGAAAGAACUGGAUUAUAAGAACCAUCAAAAGUACUAUGCUAAUCAUGAGAGUGUCUGAUAUUUUCUCCCUGUCUUUUAUUGUGAAAUACAGUACUAUAUAUUAUAUAUCAUGCAUCUAUUAAUAUUAUAUGAUCUACCUAUGCAAAACUAUAAAACUAUGUAAAGCUUAAUGGAUAAUCAUAAAGUGAACAUCCAUUAGCCAUUAUAUAGGAUAAGAAAUACAUGAGUGCCAAAUUAGUUAGGAAAAAUCAAUUGUACUGGACACUAGUGGGUCCAUUGUGACAUUAGAAUAUAGUAAGGGUUUUGGAUGAGAUAAAAUAUUCACUGAUCUAGAAAAAUAGAGGCCUUGGAAUAAAACAGCAGAUUAUAAAAUAGCAUUUACAGUGUGAUUUAAUUUUGAUAAAAGAAAAGCGGAGUAUGAACUAAGUUGUUAAUUGGGGUGAUCUCUAGGUGGUGGGAAUGUCAAGGUUUUUAAAGAAUAUUUUUCUGAUCUAUAAAAUCUACUUGUAUUGCUUCUAUAAUAAUGAAAGGUGUAUAGGUAAUCUCUGAGAUAAUUAUAAUUAUCUGACCCAGCAUUUAAUGUCCUGAAUUACCUUGGAUCAGGUGAGUAGAGAAUUUUUAAAAAGCAGAAAUUCUGGUCUUCUUUAUGCUCCACAAUUCUCCCAGGCAAUUUUCCAUUCUUUUGUUUUUUUGAGUACCGAGCAUUGAACUCAGGGGCACUUGACUACUGUGCCACAUCCCCAGCCCUAUUUUGUAUUUUAUUUGGAGACAGGGUCUCACUGAGUUGCUUAGUGCCCCACUUUUGCUGAGGCUGGCUUUGAACUCCCCAUCCUCCUGCCUCAGCUUUCAGAGCCACUGGGAUUACAGGCACAUACCACUGCACCAAGCCACAAUUUUCCAUUCUUAUUUAUUUAUUUAUUUAUUUUUAAAAUUAUAAUUUGUUAUAUAUGACAGCAGAAUGCAUUGCAAUUCAUAUUAUACAUAUAGAGUACAAUUUUUCACAUUUCUGUUUGUACACAAAGUAGAGUCACACCAAUUCAUGUCUUCAUACAUGUACUUAGAGUAAUGAUGUCCACUUCAUUCCACCAUCUUUCCUACCCCCAUGCCCCCUCCCUUUCCCUCCCUCCCCUUUGCCCUAUCUAGAGUUGCAAUUUUCCAUUAUUGACAAGUCAUUCACUUCCUCUUUACCCAUUCCAAUGUCACCAGUUUCCACUUUUGUCAUUUAAUUUAAAUUCUCCAGAAGAUAAAGGGGCUUCUUUUCUACCAGUUAAAACCGGAACCAUGCCUCACUCAGCUUGAUGGUGCCAUCUGAAGGCUUUCAAGGAUUCUUCUUCAUGUCUAUGCUCAAGUCCAAACACAGUUAGAAAAAUGACUCAGGUCCUCUUGGCACACUGGUUUAUUUUGAUGUUCGGUUGACUAAUAUGGCAUGAUGGCUAGGCAGUCAAGCAGUGGCAAGCUUCUUCCCAUUCCUGGGGCCAGUGGGGCUUCCUGCAUGUGACAUGUUCUUGUCAGAGACUUUCUGACAGUUCUCAAGCAGGUGGUCUCCAUAACAUGUUAGCACCUAUUUGUACAAACAGUGCAGAAGAAACCAUCCUUUAUUUUCCCCUAAAAGAAUGCCAGAGUUUGGGCUGGAUACAAUUGCACAGGCUUGUAAUCCCAGAGGCUUGGGAGGCUGAGGCAGGAGGAUCACAAGUUCAAAGCCAGCCUCAGCAAAAGCAAGGCACUAAGAAACUCAGUGAGACUCUGUCUCUAAAUAAAAUACAAAAUAGAGCUGGGGAUGUGACUCAGUGGUCAAGUGCCUCUGAGUUCAAUCCCCAGUACAAAAACAAAAAAUUGGAGUUUGAAUGUUGAAGAUCACAUGGGCAGCUUUAAAAUGCAGGUAGGGAUAUUCUUGGAAGAGUCUUUGACCUUGGAUGUACACCUAUGAGAGGAUUUCGGUCUAUCACAGGGAUGAUAUACAGCACAUUCCUAGUGCUAUAAGAGCUACAAGUAUCACAAAAUCAUAUAAUUCAUCCCUUUCUAUUGCAGCUGGAGAAAUGGGCCCCAGAGGUGGGAGCGGGUGUUUAAAAGGAUGAAAAUUCACAUGAAAAUCUAAAGUUCCCAUAUCUAAGCCAGGACAGUUUUUUCCCUGAUACUAGUCAUUGCAAACUUAUGGACCACAACUCUUUUUAAAUUAUUGUUUAAUUGUACCUUUAUUUUAUCUUUUUAUUUUUAUGUGGUACUGAGGAUCGAACCUAGUGCUUUGCAAGCGCUCUACCACUGAGCUACAGCCCCAGCCCUGGACCACAACUCUUGAUAAGUCUUAGAGUUAUUGUUGUGGAUGCACGGACUCACAUGCCCAUCAAGCAUUGAUAUGGGCCCCAUGAGCAAACAUAGAUUCCAAUAAUUUGAGAGUAUGUGAGUAUGUGGCAUUUUUAAAAAGGUUAUAUAAAGGUGCAAAAAUAUGCAAAACCAAUUUAAUUAUAAAUAAAAACCCAUGUGAUCAUUGUCUAAGUCAGAGAACAACACCACUAUCAUUUCAGGCUCUCCUGGGAUGCUAGUUAAUAAUUCAUGCCCAUUGCUCUUCUCCAAUCUGGAGACACCCUUUCACAUGACUUCUGUAAUUAUCAUUUCCUUGCCUCUCAAAUGUCUUUCCCAUCUACAUAUGCAUCCCCAAACAAUAUUUUUCAACUGUAUAUAAUUGAAACCAAGUUAUAUUCUUUCAUGUUUUGCUACUUCUGCUUUUUAAAUUCUUGUGAUAGAUCCUUAUUAUUGCAUAAAAUUGACUUUUAAAAAAUUUUAAUUAUGGCAGAAUAUAUCUCAGUAAAACCACCCUUUCUUUGUUGAUGGACCUUUGAAUUGUAUCCAGCUUUGAACUUCUCUCGUGUGCGUAUCCUGGUACAAACAAGGAGGUUUUUCAGUAGAGAAUAUGCCCGGAAUGAAAUUGCUGAGUCACACGUUACAUAUCACUUCACUCUUACUAUAUGAUACCAAAUUGCUUUCAAAAGUGACUUAUUUGUUUAUUUGUUUUGAGACAGAUCUUGAACUCCUGUGCUCAAGUGAUCCUCCCGCUUCAGCCCUCCAAGUGUGGGGACUGUGGGCGAGAACCAGUGUGCCUGACCCAAAAAUAGCUUUAGUAAGUUAUUACUCAUCAGUAAUGUUAGAAAGCUCUCCCUAUGUACUAAAAAGGGUAGAAGUUGUGGUCUGUGGCAUAUCAGGCUAUCUCAUCAGGAGAGCUUGGUAAUGUAGUGAUUUUCAAAAUGGUUGUAUCUACACGGAUCCUUGUUUAAUCACAAACUUUUAAUGGAAAAUCCAUAUAUAAGACAGAUAGGAGCGGAAUUGUUUGGGUUGACAGAGAAAUGUAUGUAGAGAAGGGAGGGGGCUUGGAGUCCGCCUUCUGGGCUCUAACCUCGUGUCUGCACACAGCACGGUUUGUUGCUAGCAGGACUAUCCGAAGAUAUAGUAGGUUUCCCAGUAAGGAGUUUGCUUCACUCCAUGUGUGGAAGUCAGGACAGCGUUUGUUGAAGAUGUUGUAAAAAGAAUGUAUCAGUUGAUCAUCUCUGAGCCUUUUCUUUCUCAGAGAUUAUGAGAAGUUCUUCGUUUUCUAAAAUCGUAUGUUAAAUGACUAAUGCUACCUGGGGAUACAGACAGAUAGUGAUAGUGAUACCAGGGGGUGAGAUUCAAUGUCCAGACACAUCCUCCACUGGUGGAAGAGCAGAAGAGUGACUUUGGAAGAAGAUCAUUGUUCUUCCUGUGCUUUUUUUUCCCUCUGUCUCCUUUUUUGAGACUUCUCUUAGGAUCUUGGCUUUCUUUGAAAAACGAUGAGUUUCAUUGAUACUUGCUAAGCAAUCAUCAGGUGCUAACAAUGUAUAAUGAUCAUAUUUGGCCUCUCCACUCACCAGUCUACUAAUAGUCCCAUCUACGUCCUUACCUUGAGAUCCUUACAGUGUCAUCUAAGUUGUUCAUUCACUCAAAAAAUAUUAGGGGGUUUACUGUGUGCCAGAAACAGCUCUGCUACCUGCCCCAACUCUGUCAUCAACAAGACAGGCCGAAGCUCUUCGGCUCUUUGGAAAUGUACAUUCUAGCCAUCUCUCUCUCUCUCUCUCUCUCUCUCUCUCUCUCUCUCUCUCACACACACACACACACACACACACGCGCGCGCACACACACGCGCGCACACACACACACACUAAAAUAUAAGAGAGAGAAAAUCUCCAUGGGGAUUUAAAAGGAGGUGUGCUAGAGUGAUUGGGUCAUACUGCAGCUGGUGAGGUGAGGGGAGCUGAGAUCUGAACCACAUGGAGGGCCAAUGACUUUCCAGGGGUCCCUGAGCAUUUAUCAGGCAGCCUUCAGUCUAUUUCCUGUCAAAAUAUCAACUCAUGUUUGAAUAAAACUUUCACAAUUUUUUUUAUCCCAUUUCACUCUUAGGAUAGUUUUGUGAGGUAAGAGUUCUUAUUCUUAUUUCAUAGAUGGGGUAGAAACUUCCAGAUGGUAAGAUUCACAAGCAGCAGCUCCAGGUCUUAAGCCUAGGUCUUUAACGAGCUGCCCUUUCUCUUGCUCACUCCCUGUCUUGGUUCUUUGCACCGUGUGGUGAGUAGGCUGCCAGGAUGGGGUGGCUGCACCAGAUCCAUUUUGUGCUCUUAUUGUCUCUCAAAUGUUGAGCUGUUUUUUUCCUCUGGAUUGUCCUGCAAUUCAACCCAAAGUUGGUGCCGACUCCAGAGGUUUACAGGCUCAGUCCCCAAGACUAUCCCCACUUCAGAUGCCAGGCACAGUGUCAGGUCACAAGGUUACCCAUAUUUUUGUCUGAUUUGGGUACAAAGUGGAGUGGUUUCCAUACCUUUCACCCUUUCAUAUUUGAUGAUUUGCUAAUGGUGCAUGAGACUUUGGAAAACAUUUUCCUUACUAUUACUGGCUUAUUAUGAAGGAUACCAAUGAAUAGCCAGAAGAGGAGGUACAUAGGGUAAGGUCUGGAAGUGUCCCUUGCUUAGAAGUUUCUGUCUCCAUGAAUUUGGGUAUGAUUCUCUCCUGGUCUGGAUGUGUUCAUUAGCCCUGUGGCUCUUUGAUCCUGUCAUAUGGGGGUUUUAUUGAAGUUUGAUUGCAAAAGUAAGGUUGAUGUUGGUCUCUUUUCUGCCCCAGAGGUGAGGGUGGGUAGGGCUGAAGUUCCAGCCCUCUAAGCACAUGGUUGGCACCUCUGGCCACCAGCCCACAUCCUAAAGCUGUUGAGGAGUCCACCAAGUGUAACCAACCUCAGGGUUUCCUGACACAUAUGUGUAUACCUUUGUGUAAACUCAGGUCUGGCUGAAAUGGGCUCAGUCCAAAUAACCAAAUACACUACUGUUAUUCUGGAAAUUCCAAGGGUUUUGGUUGCUUUGUGCCAGGCACUGGGCACAAAAUCCAAACCUGUUUCUUACCUUGCCAAGGACAUGUCCAGCAAGAGCAGUUUCAAUUUCAGCAUCACAGGAGAGCCUAGAAAUGCCUCUUGCCCAAGAUCACCAGAGCAAGAGAUUAGAAUGCUGUCUGCAGAAACUACUGUCUGGCUGUUGGGUGGAGUUCCUCCUGCCUCUUUCUUCUCACUCUGCAGUUUGAAGCUUGUGGAAACCUGUUUAAGGGGAACCUGAGAACUUGUCCGGGCAGCACAUCCAUUAGCUCAUAUGUGAACAAUCAGCAAGUGUUCAAGAGCUGUCCCCCUCUGACACCUGCAGAUGAGAAUAUUAGGGAGCAAGGAGGAGGGAGUAUCUUCAUGAGAGGCAGUCUUGUUGGGUGGGAAGAGCUUGAAUUAAGAAGGAUGUGGCUUUGUUACCUACCAGCUGGGUGACUCUGGGUACAUUCUUAACCUCCUUGCUCCUAAUCUUCCUUAUUCUGAUCUGCAGCUCAUAUUACCUACUUUAUAAGCUUGGGAAUUAAAACUGCAUAUAGGAAAAUGUUUAUUUAAAGAGAUGGGAGCAUAAUAAGAAGUUAUUAUUUACAGGAACUGUGAGUUUUCAUGACCUUCAAUCCAAGUUUGGGUGAACAUUUACAGGGAAGGGUGUUACCACCUUGUCUGGUGCCAGUGAUUGGGAUGGGUUGCUUUUCUGCCAGCUAACUAUUGUGAUAAGAAUGACUUUAUGCUGACAGCAUCCUGGGCUAAGAGAAGGAAACUCUGAUUAGUCAUAAAAAACUAAAGCCCCAAGCUCAUCUGUCCUGUCUAUUUCCAUAAUCAGAGUGUACCUCUUGUGAAAUGCCCAUAGGCAGCAACCUCUGCCCUUGGCUUUUCCUGGAAAUACUAAUUCAGGGCAAUCAAGAGAAGUCCACUUGUGGUUGUGGGUGGGGAAAGGUGUGGGUGUCAUUUUCCAGAGUUUAGUAAGCUUUCAUUUGUCUAACCAUAAGCUAGAACAGUUAUACAUUUUAGGACCCCAGAGUCCCCUGUAAAGUUGCAUUAUCAAACCACGUGAGACUGGGUUAACUAAUGCCGUGGUGCACUGACCUCCCGCAAUGUGUUAAACUUGUCCUUAGAUGUACUCUGUUUCCAGACUCAGCACCAUUGCUGAGCACUAGCUCCUCCACUCCAAGGCUCCCUUUCCUCCCCUCCUUUUCCAACUACUGGAAUUCUACCGAUUCUCUCCAAGUCAAUUUCAAGCAGCAAUUCUCCUGGAAGGCUUUUCUUAAUUAUCAUCUCACUACGAUCUCUUCAUCAUUUAAAACUAAUUUUUUUUCCUUUGUGCUUUUCAUAUGGCAUUAAUAUUUUCUGCCCUGAAUUAUCGUUAUUUUUUAAUUCAUCAUCUCUUCUGUUAGUCCUUCGAGGGUGAAAAAUUUAUCUUUGGCAGACAUACCUUACUCAUAGCCUGAGCUAUAGUAGGUAAAUUUUAAUUGAAUGGAAGCACAGGCUUUGUGUUGGAGGUUGCUGUGCUAAACCAUGUUUAUGGUGGUUUCCUGGGCACUGGGGCCUGACAGGUGCUCUUCCACUGAGUCUCACAGCAAUCACAUGAGGUAAGGCCAUUGUGGCAAGAGAAACUGGGAGUCCAGUUUUUCCAUGACUAGAGACGUGACAUGCCUCAUUUAGGAAUGAAAGAGAAAUGACGUUCCAAAUUGGGAAAUGCAACUGGGUUAAGUGACAUUGCCACCAGGCAGAGAAUAGCAGCGUGGCCACUUGGUUCCUAAGGAUCUCCUCACAGCCUUCUUGUGUCACCUCUCAAUAGCUGUGAGCAUUGUUAAUGGAAAAUGAGACCUAGCUGUCAAGAGGUCCUUGGAGUUUCUUGGUUUUGUUAGUAAUUGUAUUUUGUAAAAUAAUGUACGAGACUGAAAAAUCAGCCCAGUUCACACAACAGUGACUGUGAACACACAUUUUAGGCCUGAACAGCAGCCCAAAGCAGGUGUCCAACCAUUGGUUCCUUCCAGCUCAGGCCCUUGGUUGGCUCUGUUGAAAGUAGCGGUUUUGUGAAACUCAGUCUUACCUUUACCAUCUUUGUGUCUCAUGGAGACAGACUAUAAAGAGGAAGAAAGAGCAAAAAUGCAAGCACUCAUUCAACAAAGAUGGCUUUAGAGAUGAGCUUGAAUGUCAUGAAAAUGACGGGGACUACUCAACAUUUCCUAAUGGUCCAAGGGACAGUGCAGUAUCUGGGGGUUGCUUAUGUUUUCUCCCUUCCUCACCAGGAGACUGAUUUUAUUAUUCAUUUCAAGAAGAAAAUCCACUUGAAUCUGUUGAGCUAGGAAUAAGGAAAGAAUGUAAUUUUUGUUUCCUUUCUCUCUGUGUCUCUCCCUACAACCUUCUUCUUUUUCCUUCCCUUCUUCCUUUAGUAUAGUCACUUAUUUUUUUUCUAUUAAUUCAUCAAGUAUUUAUUGAGUGCUUACUGCAUGCAGAUAAUAUCCAUGGUGGAUACAAACUUGAGUGGCUCUAAUUUGACAGAAUUUAAAAGUAUAGUUGCUAGUGGAGGAAGAAAGGAAGAAACACAGAAAAGCAAGCAAAAAUAAAUAUACAAAUCGCUAAUUGUGAUAUUGUUACAAAGUAUUAUAAAUGGCGUAUGAGAUCAGGGGCUUAAUGACAUAGGAUGAUUGUCUAAGAGAUCUGAGAAGCAAACAUUUAAAGGGUGCUUAAAGAGGUGAGAAGUAGCCAGCCACGGGAAGACGGUAAGGUGGGUGAAGGCAUGGUGGAUUCAAGGAAGUGUAAAUAGUCCUAUGGUUGGGGCAGAAUGAGUUAGAAGGAGAGUGGCCCAAGAUGAGGUCAGGAAGGGAGGCAGGAAGAAGAGACCAGGUGGGCAAUUGCUUCCUCUUUCAGCCCCUCAAUUUGCUGAUGUGCAAAAUGAAUUGUCAGACUGCACUGGAGCACUGCUGACCUUAGUGGUUGUUAUUAGUCACUUUUUGUUACCAUAAUGAAAUGCCAGAGGCAGGCUAUUUAUUUAUUUAUUUAUUUUUAAAAUACACAACAACAGUGGAAUGCAUUACAAUCAUUAUUACACAUACAGAGCACAAUUUUUCAUAUCUAUAUACAUAAAGUAUGUUCACGCCAAUUUAUGCCAUUGUACAUGUACUCUUUUUUCCUUUUGCAUUACGAUUCUUAAUACACAUAUACACCACAAUUUUUCAUAUCUCUGUUUGUAUAUAAGGUAUGUUGGCACCAAAUUCAAAUCUUCAUACAUGUACUUUGUAUAAUGAUGACCAUCACAUUCCACCAUCCUUGCUAAUCUCCUUCCCCCUCCCUUUCCCUCCCACCCCUCUUCCCUAUCUAGAAUUAAUCUAAACCUCCCAUGCUCUCCCUUCCUACCUCACGAUGAGUCACCCCCCUUAUAUCAGAGAAAACAUUCGACUUUUUUUUUUUUUUGGAUUGGCUGACUUCACUUAGCAUUAUCUUCUCCACCGCCAUCCAUUUACCUCAGAGGCAGGCUAUUUAUGAAGAAAAAAUGGUUUAUUUAACUCACAGUUUUGGAGGCUCAAAGUCCAAAUAGCAUGGCACAGACCCUGGUGAGGGCCCCAUGGCAGAUGGCAGGAGUGUGCAAUGAGAAAGGGCUCAUGAACAUCUAGAUACAGAAAGCCAGAGAACAACUCCAGGGUCAGACUCAGAACUCCAGAACUCACUCCAGGAGACUCUAUUCCAUGGGUGUGCCCCACCCAAAGCCCUGAGGACCUCCCACUAGCCUCUCCUCUCAACGGUCUCACCACCUCCCACUACUGCCCUCCUGGGGGUUCUGCUCCCAAAACAUGAACACUUGGGGAUGUCAAACAACCGUAGCAGUGGGUAUUAAGUGUGAGUCCUUUUUCUCUGUAGAUUUCAAAAUCAAAAUGUCCCAAGUUCUCUGGCACUGAGGAGGCUACUGUAGGCCCCAGGACUUAGAGGUCUACUUAAGUUAGGUGGGGAAAAACAAAAUGUUUGAAGCAAGGAUUUUCAACCUGGGCAUUCUUUGGGGCCAGGUGAAUUUUUCUUAGGCCCUUCCCCUGCUUUGUGGAAUGUGUAGUGGCAUUCUUGGCCUGUACCCACCAGAUGCCAGAAGCAAUUUUCACCUUGUUGAGAGUGACACCCGCCCCCCAAAAAAUGCUCCAGAUAUUGCUAAGUGUCCCCUGGGAGACAAGCUCACCUUUGUAGGGGAAGCGCUGCCUUCCAGGGAGAGGUUGUAACUCUAAUGAGUGGGCAGAAUGGACGAGAUGAGAGAUGGAACCUGACAUGUGGUUAAUGGCAGGGGGAGGAUAAAGUGUGGCAAGGACAACAGGAAUCAGGAGAGCACGUGCUCCUUACCACGGGCACCUCUUCCUCACCCCAGCUGGUUAUUUCUUUCUUUUCUUCCAUGACUUCAGAUAUUCCCAAUUAGAUAAUCCAUAAUCUUGGGUCUGUGACGCACUCUGGUUAUCUGUCCAGGUUAUAUGGCAUUAGCUUAGUUAUUCCAUUAGUUCUUCAGAAUAAUGUGACGAACCCACCACCCAGAGGAAAACUGGGAUCCUGAAAAUAACCUACAUCUAAUUGUCUGACCUGUCAUGCCCCUGCCUGGCCCUAGUAGAGGUGGCCAUUGUCUUCUAUUGUGUCUUCUUCAUAUCCUUAUUUCCCUUUCUAUAUGGUUUUAUUUUAUCUAACUGUAUCCUUAAAAAGUACCUUAAAUUGAAUUUGCUUUUAACUUUAUGAAGUGGUCGUGAUGUUAUUGCAAUACUUGGCACCGUGUCCACCUGCCGUUCACAGAGUCAUCCACCCCACUGGGUGCCGCUGUGGUCCACGUGCGUGAAGCAUGGCGUUCAAUCCCUUGUGUGGAUAUGGAUUGUGACAGUAUCCUAUCACUGGGUGGAGUUCAAGCUCCUUCCUGGGUUAUUUGGAAGGUGUCUUUUUGUCUUCUCUGCCUGAUUCUUACAGUACAAAAACAUGGGGGAAAUAUGGCCACGAUUUCUGAUUUGUUUGGAAGAAAAAAACAGAAAUGGCUAUUUUUGUGUGAAAAUAGCUAGGGGACCAAUUUAAAAAUUUAAGAAAUACUUAGCAGGUCAAUGAGAAACCUAUCUGCAGGUUAUUCUUUGUGUGCCUCCAGAUUUGUGGAUUAGGUUGUUCAGUAUGAGAAUCUCAAAGUCACAUUAACUUAGAAGCUUGGGAAAUUCUCCUUUGUACUAAAGAGUGGCAAACAAGAAACUACUGAAGCAGAAAUUUUAAUAGGUAUCAGAGUGGAGGUAAGCAGCAAGGUAAAUCGCAUUCAUUUGACAGAUUUGUGUUGUAAUGCAUGGAAAUUACAGCAAAGUAUUCUUUUCACACCUAACAUUUCGAAAUAAGGGAAAAGAAAUUAUCUUCAGGGAAGUCAACUUUUAAAAAUGGAGUCUUUUAAAACCUUCAAAUAUUAAAUAAAGCCUGAAGAGAAAUGUAAAAUGUCUUCAAGAGACUAAAUGGCUCCCAGGCCAACAAAAUUUGACUGUAAUUUGAUUGAACAAAUUAAUGUGUUUAAAGAGGGCGCCAAACAAUCAGGAUGUGAGAUGGUCAGAGAAGAUUCCAGAGCCCAUUUUAAGCACUGUGCUGACAUAUAGCUCCACUGUCAGGACAUCACACUGGAAAGACUUCUUUGGAGACAGCCACUGACCUGUGUCCUGUUUCAUUUCCAUGUUCUUAUGUCUACACUUCACGUAUCACCAAGUGCUCACCUCAUGUCAAACCCUAAAUUAAAGUGCUGAGGGUAAAUUCUGAAAGAUUAACUAGAUUCAACCUCAUGAGCCCUCCAGAGCAGGGCCUUAUUGAAGAACUGGGAACACCCCUGAAAAUCGAUGGAGAGGUGUGCAUAUUUUUAUAAAGAGAGAGUCCAUAGGUUUGGCCUCUCUGUUGACCUACUCGCUGAGGAAGUUUAAACCAUUGCUUUGGGACCAAAGUUUGGCUUCCUGUGAGGAGAAGCCCUGGAUAGCUGGAAGCCAAAGUUUAAGCACUUAUAGAUGCAAAAGACCUGAAUAUCUAGGGACUGAGGAAGGAGAAGAAUGUGUGGGUAAGCAAAGGAUGAAGACAGGAAAACUGUGCUGUUCUAUAAUGCACACAGCCUGCUGUGAGUUUAAUUAUUUGUGUAAUAUUCUUUUGAAAAUUUCCUAAUUUUCUUUUUUUUUUGGCUCACUGAUUCCCCCUUUUUUUUGUGGGAGGUGAGAGUAGGUGGAAUGCAGGGUGGCAGGGAGAGUUACCUCAAGCAUAUUCAGGGACAUGGAAGGCACUCCAUGAAUAUAGGAAAUAAAUUUCUAUGAGAUGGUAAUAGCACCAUGUCAAUUUUUGUAAUUUUAAACCCAAUAUCUGUUAAUAAUUCCUGGAAUGCAAUUCACUUUGAGUCAUUACAACUCAACUCACUUCAAGAAGCAAUAAUUGUCCAUGCCUUGUCCACAUUUUUUUCAUCGUUUCUACAGAAAAUUUAAUAAUUUUAGUAUUAUGGAUCACAGAGCCACUAAAUGGAGUGAUAGUGUCCAGCAGGCUGACAGUAGGGAAGCUUCUAGAGUAGCAUUGUGGUAUUACAGGGGCCGAUUUGCUGCGCUUGCCAGGGACACCUUUGUCUACUCCCAUCAUUCCAGUGUUAUUAGUAGCACCUCAUUCCUAGGACAAUUUAUAUGGUCACCUUUCUGUAAAAACCUUUUAUUGCUCUGUGUUUAAUCUUUCUAUUUGUGUCUUCCCUCCCCUCUAAACUAAUGAGCUCCUUGAGGCUAGAGACAUUGUCUCAUUUAUCUCUGGGUCACGCACAUGCCUGCUAUUUGGCAGACCCAAUAAACAUCAGUUAAAUUAAACUGAAAAUUAAAGAUAGAAUGUAGAAGAGCUUGAGAGUAGAAAUAGCCAGCCCACAUUGUCUUCCAUGUGCUUUAGAGGUCUACAGUGGAGGCCUAGUUUGGAGUUACUUAGGAGCUUUGUGUCUUGGGAAACUUAUUUCCUCUUUCUUAAACAGAGGAUGAUGUGUAAAGUACUUAGUGAAGGACUUUUAAGUGCCCAAUAAAUGUUAGUUGCUAGCAUUGCUAUCAGUAAUAAUUAGUUACUAAUAAUAACUGUUAUUGUAUAUAGUGACUUGAAACUUGAGUUUUUUAAACUGGAGAAUGAAGACAGUGAUUCCUGCCUAUGUUAUCUUAAUAAUGAGCAUGAAGAUAUUUUGGAAAGUAUUGAGGACUCUUGUUGCACAACCCAUAAAUAAACGCAUGCUAACUGAGAGGUUUGUGCUACAGAACAGGGUAGCUCAGGCAGAUGACAUGGGGGCUCAACUAACUGGCAGUAUAAAAGUUUUCAUAUAUACAUAUAUGUAUGUGUGUGUGUGUGUGUAUAUAUAUAUAUAUAUAUAUAUAUAUAUAUAUAGUGAUAAAAUGAUGAGGCUGGGGCUAGAAAUUUAUCAACGACAAAGUGUACAAUGGAACAGCACACUGGAGAUGUGGGUGGAAGGAUUCAGGACAGGGAGGGAAACUAUGAUGGUAACUUACUCCAUAUGGGACAAACAGAGCAUUGCCAGGGAUGUGAUGUGGGGAGCCUUUCCAGUUGUGGCACCAGGAAAGCAAAAACUGGAGCUUGGGCCAGAGGAGCGUUCAUGUUAGGGUAGACAGUCUACUCUGCAAAUAAGUCAAAGCUUUGAUUUCUGAGUUAAUGCAAACAUUCUAUAAGAGUCAGGCCAAAUGUGGACAAUACCUAAGGAUGUCAUUCAGUGCCUGUCUGUGCUGCCAAUCGUAGGAGGGAAUCUAAUAAUUACACUUGAAAAUAGCUUUCAGCUCGGGAUCACAGAACCUUUCCAGAUAAUGUAUUCUUGAUCAGGUGAGACAGGAAGCGGAGGUUGCAAAGUUUUAUUUCAGCUCUCUGGUUCCCUAGAUAUUAUCACUACCCACAUUUUAUUGAUAAAAAACUUAGGAGAAAGAAGAUUAAAUAACUUAGUGUAAGUUCACAUAACCAAUAAGAGGCAGAGCUAGUCUCUGAACCCAAAGUGUCUUGGUCCAGAGAAUGUGCUUUUAACCAGAACAUUCUACUCCUUCUCAGUUUUAUAACCAGUAAAAAGAAUACCUAUGAUUUUGUGAAAAGUAGUCGUGAGACUAAGGCCAUAAACUUCAAAGGGUAGUUUUCUAUUCUGCUCCAGACUUUUCUUGGAAAGAAGUUUGUCUAGAUUAGACAUGUAUGAGAGGUGAAUCUCUUAUCUUGUUCAAAUUUCUGUUGUCUAGGAUCUAAUAACAUCCUCUCAUGUCUCAUAAUGGUGCUCAAUAACACAAGCUGAUGUGAACUAUAGAUUCUCUAUGUAUUAUCCCUUCUGAUGUCAAAUUCCUUUUGUUACUUAACAUGGGGGGAACAUGGGGACAUAUGUGACCAAACUCCCAAAAGCAAGUUGGCUGUUAACCCUCUUGUGAUCAGAUUCUUUCACUGAAUCCUGGUUCCAAACCUCACAGCCUGGUUGCCCUUUCCCCGGCCUGGGGGGUUUGCUGGUUCUAGCCAACAGGAUCACUGGUUCACUGUCAUGGCUAGCUUUCCUGCCACAAGGCUUGUGGACCUGUCUGCUGUAGCUAUGAAUCAAACUCAAGGUUCGCCUGCUGACAGAAUGGGGUUUGAAUCUUAGCAGUGGAACUGGCUGUGAGGCCUUGGACACUUUGUCCCAUUUAGCCAUUCUGAGCUCAGUCCCAUAGUUUGUGAAAUGAGGGUAAUAUUUCAGGGACCAUAGGGAUAAUUGGGAGACUUCAACAACCCAUAUAUCUGAACGCCUGGCAUAGUGGUAUAGUGUUUGGGCCAGGGCAGCUGAGGGCCCAAAUUGUAGAAACGAAUUUUUGCAUUUAGAUGGUUCUUCCUUGGAGGUCUGGGAUCAUGUCUGAAAUUUCUUUGUCAGGAAUCCUGCUCCACUGUGUCUCUCCCUCUCCUUGUCUUCCCCUCCCCCCCCCCCGUCAACACUCCCUCUCUGCCCCCAGUUCAUUGCUAAAAUCAGUAUUUGUUCAUAUAUCGUGCUCAACCAAUAUUGAGAGUCAUUUUGAUUCCAUUUCAGGAAAUAUUUGGCUAUCGGACUCAAAGCUGCAGGAAAGUCCUCUGCCUGGCUGGAUCCAUCGUCUCAUUUGGAAUCCUCCCCUUGGUGUUUUAUUGGAGACCGGCUUGGCAUGUCUGGGCAAGCUGUGUCCCGUGUUCCUUGCAAGAAGCAGACAUUGUGCUACUGAGGACAACAGUAAGUGUCUGCCUGGUUUUGUAAUUAGCUGGUGACCCCUCUUCCUAGACGUCGUGCUGCAGGAGGGCUGUGGAGAUGAGCAUGAGGCAGGUGGCAGAUGAACCCUUUCGGUAUGAUUAGGUCUGUUCAUGGCUUGGCAUCUACCGGGAAUUCAAUAAUUUGUACACGAUGGGAUUUGUUUAAGAAGACCUAUAUCAUGGCAUGUUCUUUUUAAAAUGGUGACAUUUGUGAAUAUUAUAAAAUAAUCACAUUAAUAGCUAAAGAUAUUAGGGGGUGUGAAGUGGUUAAGUCAGGUUACAGGUUACAAAAUCCACAUUGACUCUUAUUCCAAGCCUGAUGUACCCAUGCCUGUUCCCUCUGUGGAGUGACUUUAGAGGAAGGGAGAGAGGAGCUGGGGAGGAUAGGAGGUAGAAAGCAUCCCUCUGUGGGCUCCACAGAGAAGUGACUUCCUAACUUGUUAAUUGCUGCUCUCCCUGAUCCUGCAUGUGGUAGUGAUCCCACUAACACGAGGUGGCUGAGGGGCUGACCUGGAUAUUCCUGCGGAAGGAGUGAAAGGACAGUCUCAUGGAGCACUCCCCUCUGACUGGCUCACUGAUUCUAACAAGGCGCCAACCUAAAUGACCCAGAAUGACAACCAAAUCCCUGAUAAAUCAAUUGCUUUUGGGAGUGUAACUUCUUUUUAUUUAUAGCACUCUUUCUAGAUGAACAUUUUAUUUAAUGCUGUAAGAAGGAAGGACGGCAGCAGGACUUAUAACUAGCAAAAAAAGAAAAUGUUGUAAUCCAAAAUCUAACCAAGCUUGGGCUAACUUUCCAUGACGCUGGGAAUUGGAUAGAGUAUGUCUGCUGACUUGCUGUGCUGGGACCAGCCCCACCCUUCAUUCUGGAUCCUAUUCCUUUUAAGAGCUACCUGUUCUAGGUCUCAGAUUAGCUGACAUGUAACCCUGAUACAGGUGACAGCUAAGGGACUGACUUGCAGGUUGAACUAUAAUUUAACCAGAGGUUCUUGAAGAAUAAGCUUCAAGACUUCAAGAAAGCAAGAUAUUAUUGUGGAGUAAGGAUGACAACUCAUGUUGAUGAUGUUGAGAGGCAGCGGUAGCCCACGGAACGGUCAAAGCAUACUUUUCGAAGGCUCCUAGAAUGUGCUUGGAAGGAAAGUGCCUGGCACUCACAUACAAGACUUCUUCAUUGGAUGGGAAAGUGGGGCCUGGGGAGGUGACACAAUUUACCUGAGCUCAUAUGUGAAUGAGGCGCCUAAGACUAAAUACCAUGUGUACAGUUAGUCUAGGGCUAGCCUCCUAGUCUAGGGUUGUUCCCACUGGGUUAUAUUUAGGCCAAUGGUUCCCAAGUCUCAGCUGGCAUCAGGAUAUUCUAGGAGGCCCAUUAACACAAAUAGCUGGGGCCCACUCCCUGGAGUUUCUAGUCCACUAGAUUUGGAUGGGGCUGGGAGUUUGCAUGUUCAGUGGGCUCUCAGGUACUGCUAAUGCUCUGAAAAACCGCACACGGAGAAAACUGCUACAAAUCAUCAUAGUUCCUGUUUAGGAGCUGUCUUGGUCCUUGGGAGAGGAAUAGAGAUUUGGACAUUUGAUUCAUGGCUCAGCCAUUAGAUAUCUAUAAAGUCUGCGGGAAAUAAUCCAGAUUUAGCAAAGGGUCAUAAGUGGCCCUCCUAGACACAGUCUGAAUUUCUUGCUGGGGCAGAGUAGAGAAGUUUGUUUUCUGGGGCCCAGAAGGGGUCUUAAUGUUUUUUUCUUUAAUUUUUAAAUUUGUUGUUUUUAGUUAUACAUAACAGUAGAAUGUAUAUUUUACCUAUAUACCUGGAAUAUAACUUUCCAUUCUUGUACAUGUGUGGAGUUACACUGAUUCUGUAUUCAUAUAUGAACAUAGGAAAGUUAUGUCUGAUUCAUUCUAUUAUCUUUCCUACUCCCAAUUCCCCUUCCUUCCCCCCACUCCCCUCCACUCUCCAAAUGGUGAACCUCCACCCGCCCACUCCCCUACCCAUGCCUAUUGUGAGUCGGCAUCCACAUAUCAGAGAGAACAUUUGGCCCUUGUUUUUUUGGGAUUGGCUUAUUUCAUUUAGUAUGAUAGUCUCCAGUUCCAUCCAUUUACCAGCAAAUGCCAUGAUUUCAUUCUUCUUUCUGGCUGAGUAAUACAGAAUGGGGACAUGAUGUUGAUGAAAGACCAAGGUUUCGUAGAGCUGCUUCUCCAUGUGAAUCUAAGGACCUAUCAGGUUUUUACUUUGUAGCAUGGAAUGAAUUUACCUCUACCCUGCGGGUACUUCCAUGAGCUCUCAACUAGUUCUCAGGAGGGCACUGCUUUUGCUGUACCAGAAGCAAAACCUCUGAAUCAAAGACUCCUCAGCUCUGAGAACGACUGGCUGGCUGAGCAGAGCUCUCUGAGACUGCUGGAGGGAUCAAGGCAUGGACAGGAAAUGAACAAGAAAAUGGGAAGGGAAGGGACGACAGUGAAAAACUGGAGAGGGAAAUAAUUAAACGGAAAAUGAAGAUGCAGAAAGAAGAAUCUACCAAGGGUGAAAAAUUUGAAAAGUGUCAGCACACAGGCAGAUAGUGCCUUCUGGAAUUUGGAGUCAAAUAUUUUGACUUUUAGUCCUGGUGCUUUAGGUUUGUUCCUAAUUUUUCAGGAUCUUGGCUACUCCACUUACAAAAUGGAGCUAGCAUAUAUGAAUAUGUAACAACGAAUCCCAUCAUUCUAUACAACUAUGGUGCACCAAUAAAAAUAUGAAAAACUAUGUACCUGUGUAGCUUAGGAAAUAAAAAAUUUGUCAAAAAAGUUUUAAAAAUGGGGCUAGUAAUGUACUUAUUCUUUACUGGGCUGUUGUGAGGAUGAAGUGAGAUUAUGUAUAUAAAAGCCAUUUGCAAACUGUGAAGUGGAUUAUCAAUGACUAUUUUAAAUUUGUGCGCAGUGCGCAUGCGUGUAUUUUGUUAUUAAUAGUUCAAGUGGCUCAAAAAGCUUUCUGUGAAGAAGAGCUUGCUGUGCUUGAGGUGUGUCCAUGCCUAAAGGCCAUGCUGGCUCUGAUGUGUCCUCCUUUGUUGCCAGCAGGCCUGGCAUGCCCUUCCAGGGUAAGGUGUCUUGUGACUGGGAAUCCCCAGCCCUCUUCUGUCCCAGCCAGGUGAUCUCACCUGAUUGCAUGUGGUCCCUUUUGCAAAUGAACAUAUACUAGAAAUACUCCAAAAAUCAAAAUAAAGCAAAACCACAGAGCCUUUGGAAGCUACAUCCCACUAUCCUACACCUUUCUUUGCCUCUUUUUCAAGUCUAUGUAUUCCCUCUCGCCUUUCAAUGCCCUUCGAGCGACUCAGAAUAGUCUCAACCCACUUCAAUCAUGUCUUUUCCAUUUGAUUUCAACUUUAAUUUUUAAUUACCUGCGCUUGUGUGUAAUUUUAAAUGGAUUUUUUAUGCCAGAGACCCUUCAAAUAAAUGACGUUCUAAAUUAGUCUUUAUGUAAUUAAGACAAGAACUCAAUUAUUUCCAACAUUCUUACUAUCCAAGACUUAGAUAAAAAUAAGCUUCGAGCACCAAUAGAUUAAAAGCCUGCUUCUAGGUUAUUUGCAUUAAAAUGACAUUUUAAAAUUUUUUAUUUGAGUUAUAUUAGAAUAGCUGGACUCUUACAACUCUCACUAGAGAGGACUGGGUGACUCCUACCUGAAAAUGUGUUAUUUAUCUAUUCUUCAUGUUAUUAGAAAAUCAGUACUUGGUAUUUAUCAUCAAUCUCACACUGGUAAGAUUGCAGAUCAUUAUCACAGAAACUGAUUAGGUAGUCAUUUCUUAACAUUAAAAAAAAAAGCAUGAUGUACUUACUGUAAACUUUCCAUAUUCAGUUUAUUUUUGGUUUCCCCUUUCUUAUUAAGCACCAUAAAGUGCAAGAUUUUUUUUCUUUUUUUCCAAGAGUAAUUACAUUUUUUAUUUUAUAAACUUUAAGGUAGAAUUUAUUCAUUAUUCAUGUAUUUCUGAAUUUUAACCAAUAUUUGUAGUGAUGCCACAUUUCUAUGCAAAUAGCCUAAUUUACAUUCAUCGGUGGUUUGAAUUAAAUGCUCCUGAUGAUUUCUGUAGUUCCCAUCUUUUUUUGCAAUCACACACACGUUUUUCCCUUCACCGUCUUUGCAUAUCACAUAUUGUCAAAGACCCACGAUGUGCAAAGGAGAACUCUGUGAUGAUUCCUUUUGAGGCCUGACUCAAGGCACUUCAUUCUGAGAGCAGCUUUUUUCCUUCAGUUCCAAUUAAAGACGUCAGGCCUGGCGGCUUUUCGUUAAAAACUUAGGAACUCUGCAAAUCAGCUAUGCAAAUGGCAUCCUGAAAUCUGACAGGAUGGGGGUGGGAGUGGAGCUGAGGUGGGGGGUGGGGAUUAUUGCCUCUCCUCAGUACCCCCUCAGCAGGGUGGUCGCUCACAGCCCAUCCCCCACAUCAGCACCAUUUUUCUAUGGAGGCAGCAGGGAGUCCAUGCUUUUAGCCAUUAACUGUUUUCUACCCUCCGUCUUUUCACCAACUUAUUCAUUCAUUAAUAAGUAUUCACCAAGCAUCAGGCAGACACCAGACAUUAUUGAAAUCACUAGGAAUAUAACUGUGAACAAAACAGAUGGAAACCCUUGUCCUUGCUGGGUGACACUCUUGUGAGGAGUCAACCCUCUUCCUCUCUCUCACCCACACACAUUCUCUGUAGAACAGAUGCAGAACACAGGUAUUUAUGUCCACUUAUUAAAACCUUCUCAUUCCUUAGACAUGCAUUUAUUCAUUUAUUUAAUUAUUUACACAAAUGGAGCACAACUUUUUAUUUCUCUGGUUGUACAUGAUAUAGAGUCACACCAUUUGUGCAGUCAUACCCAUAAAUAGGGGUAAUAAUGUCCAUCUCAUUCUACCAUCUUAACCCCUCAACACAUACCUCCUUGACUCCCCUCUCUCCCUUCUGCUCAAUCCAAAGUUCCUCCAUUUUCCCCUUGCCCCUCCCCAUUAUGGAUCAGCAUCCACUUAUCAGAUAAAAUAUUUGGCCUUUGGUUUUUUGGAAUUGGCUUACUUUACUUAGCAUGAUAUUCUCUAACUCUGUCCAUUUACCUGUAAAUGCAUAAUUUCAUUUAUUAAGGCUGAGUAAUAUUCCAUUGUGUAUAUAUAUACAGUUUCUUUUUAAAAAUUUUUUAAAAUUUUAAUUUGUUUUAUAUGAUGACAAAACACAUUACAAUUCAUCUCACACAUAUAGAGCAUAAUUUUUCAUAUCUCUGGUUGUACACAAAGUAGAGUCACAUCCUUCAUGUCUUCUUACAUGUACUUAGGGUAAUGAUGACCAUCACAUUCCACUAAUUUUCCUAACCCUAUGCCCCCUCCCUUCCCUUUUCCCCUUUGCCCUAUCUAGAGUUCAUUUAAUCCUCCCCUCCACACACACACACACACACACACACACACACACACACACAGCAUAUUAUGGCUCAGCAUGCUUAAAUCAGAGAAAUAAUUCGGCAGUUGGUUUUUGGGAUUGGCUAAUUUUACUUUUCGUUAUAUUCUCUAGCUCUGUCCAUUUACCUGCAAAUGCCAUGAAUUGAUUCUCUUUUAAUGCUGAAUAAUAUUCCGUUUUGUAUAUAUACCACAUUUUCCUUAUCCAUUCAUCUACUGAAGGGCAUCUGGGUUGGUUCCACAGUCUAGCUAUUAUGAGUUGUGCUGCUAUAAACAUUGAUGUGGCUGUGUCCCUGUAGUAUGCGGUUUUUAAGUCUUUUGGGUAUAGACCGAGAAGUGGGAUAGCUGGGUCAAAUGGUGGUUCUAUUCCCAGUUUUCCAAGGAUUCUUACAGAGUUUUUUUUUGUUUGUUUGUUUUUUGUUUUUAAUUCAUCUACUGAAGGGCCUCUAGGCUGUUUCCACAGUUUAGCUAUUGUGAAUUGAGCUGCUAUAAACACUAAGGCGGCUGUAUCACUUUAGUGUUGUGGUUUUGAAUCCUUUGGGUAUAGACUGAGGAGUGGGAUAGCUGGAUCAAAUGGUGGUUCCAUUCCAAGUUUUUGAAGGUCAUUUCUUAGACUUUUAUGACCUUCUCUAUCAUGUCUUUGUUGAUUCAUUCUCCGGCCCAGUCCUGGAGGUACUUCCUCAUCUCUCCUGCAUUCUCUUUUAAUUCUCUGUUUUCAUUUCUAUGCUUUUGGCAGUCUGCCUUGUAAUAAAAUGCUGUUCACUUUGCAGUUUAUAAUAUAGCCAGUCACUGAUCAUUUUAUUUAGUUUUCAUAACAACCCUGUAAAAUGUCAGGAUUGUGUCCAUUUUACAGAUGAGAAUACAGAGAGAACAAGUAAUCUUACUUCCUAGUAAAUGUCAGAGCCAGGAGUUCCCUCCCUGUUUCUCUUUCCUUCAUAAACCUGAUGAGUGCAGACUGAUGCCAGUCACAGUGCUGGUUCCUGACAGGGGUAUGUCUUUGUUUAUUAUUAUAAACAAAGGGUCAUGGAAUUCAUCAGUCCACCACAUAAAAAAAUUAUCCAACUCUUCAAAGUGUUACUUAGGAAAGGUUCACAGUUAGGGUAGGAUUAUGUAACAGGGAUUUAACCAAGUCAAUAAAAUCUGGAAAAAUCUUCCUGGGUUCCAAACAGAUGAGAUUUAAAAGCUGAUGGGAAAGGCAUAUGAAAAGUGGUUCAGAAGAGGAAAUCAUGUGGGCAAAGAACUUGAACCUAAGUUUUCCCACCCUCUGAGUCCCAGGGUUGGUUUGGCACUAUACCACAUUCCUUUUUAUGGUUUUACUCAUAUCAGAUUAUAGGCUUUUUGAAGAAAGAUGAGUGGCUUACUUUUUAUCCUCUCUUGGAGCUAGUACAGAGCCAUGGCAGGUGCUCAAUAUUUAUUUCAUUCAAUUAAAUAAAUUGAAUUCAAUGGAAUCUGUAAUAGUCUUACAGUUUCUAUUACUGCUUUAUUUCAAAGAUACUAAAGUGAAAUGCCACAAUUGAGAAAGAAAGAGAACAUGGUAUUAUGUAUCUUUUAGGUACACACUCCCUCUCCUGAAGCCCAUCCCCUCUACCCCCACUUCUCCCUGUCUUUUUACUAAACAUGGAACCAGAAAUCCUGAGAUUCUCAGAACUGGCCACGGACAAAUAACUCUAUGUUAAGAUAAGUAGUUCUGAUGCUAUUAUUCUUCAUAACACAGGGCCAUUGAUAUUGUGAUUUAAUAGUUUGAGUUACUGCUGGAGACACAGAAGAGUUAAAUGAAAUGCUCGUGGUGCCAGAGCUGUAAGCAACAGGAGCAAAAUCGCUAAGCAUUGAUGGAGAGUUGAACUAAAGAUCUUGUGAGUCUCUGUGUAAUGUCCAGAUGCCACAAAGGCAAUACUGAGAAGUGCCUUCAGCAUAGAGGCUGGAAUCCGGGUGCCUAGAUAUGAUUCCUAGCUCUGCUCAUGCCCAACCACGGGCAAUGUAUUUGUUUGCUAGUGCUCCCAUAGCUGAAUUUUAUGUUUUCAUAGUUCUGGAAGCUGGAAGUCCAAGAUACAGGUGUCAACAGGGUUAGUUUCUGGUGAGGAUGGUCUUCCUUGUUUGCAGAUGACUACCUUCUCUCUGUGACCUCAAAUGGCCUUUCCUCUGAACUCUUACACUCCUGGAAUCUCAUCUUCAUUAUAUGUGGAUAUCAAUUUUACUGGAUUAAUGUACUACCUCAUGGCCUCAUUUAGCCUUAAUUACCUCAUUAAAAACCUUAUAUUCAAAUAGAUAUGAGGUUAAGACUUCAACAUAUGAAUUUGCGGGUGACAACCCAGACUAUAAUAGGCAAGUUACCUACCCCUCUCUGCCUCCAUUUACUCUUCCAUUAAAUGGGGCUGUCAAUAGGGUCUACCUCUUUGGAGGAUAUUCGGUGAUAUGUGUGAAGUGCUGAGAUGAGAACUGCCUGGUAUGCAUGCAUUCACUCCAUGGGCAUCGAUUAACUUUUUUCUAUACCCUGCAUCUCCAGAUGUUUUGCAUCUCCAGAUGUUACAGAUAACGAACCAACUAAUCCACUAACCCCUCUCCAUUCAGAAAACAACUAUAAAGCAAACAAGCACCAAACCACAAUCUCUCAAAAUACAUAUGCUGAGUUGUUCUGAGUUGUCUUUUUCUUUUUUAAGGAAAAAAAACAUAGAUACAACCUUUUUAUGUCAUAUGACUUCAUUAAUUUGCAGCACUCAUUUUAUUUAUUUAUUUCUGGUUAAUAUGUCCUAACAGUACUCAGAUAAUACACUGUGUGCAAUGUCUCCAAUGUUUAGAGAAUUCUCCAUAUAUCUUUUAGCUGAAUCUCACAUUCUAGCCAAUGUCAAUGUUUUUCAGCUAAGCAACAUUGGAUAGAUUAGGUCAGGGUAUAAAGAACAUCAAAUGAAUCUGUCCAAAAAGGGGAAAGAAAAAGAGAAAAAACUGAUUCGCAGAAAGAAUGAUAUUUCACAAAAGUUAUAGGUCUGUUAAGGUAGUGCAGUGUUAAAGUACUGCAGUGAGGAAAUUUAGGUUACCAUUACUUUAUCUCUAAUAUGCUAAGUACUUCACCUUACCAGAGAGUUCAUCAAUCUAGCUUUGCAGGGUGCCCAUCUCUAAGAGAAAGUAUUCAUUUUCUAGUGCCUUUUGGAAUUUUGCAGUAGGCUACUUCUUUUAUUUAUGGCAAACUCAAUACAACUUUUGCUUGUAUGAGUGUGUGCUACUGAACAUACAAGAGCACUUGCAGGACUGGCCUGAAUUUAAAAUGACCAUUAUACUGCUUUUAAAUUCCAAAGGUUGAAGUGCUUUUAGAAAAAGGCUGAGAUAAGAUAAGCAAGAUAAUCCAGUACAUUCAAAAGUAAAAUUUUGUCUGGAAUUUCCAGGUUCAGAAAGUUCAAGAUCACAGAAAAUAAACAAUGCCCAGUUUGUUCCUCUAUUUGUCUUCCCAGGUCAAGCAUAGGUCCUCUGUGUACAUUCAACUUUGGAAAUGCACUCUUCAAUUAUUUUGAGACCUAUUCUUUUAGAGUUGAAGAAUUAAUCUGGUCAAUUAUUUUGAUAAAGGGGAGGUACGUUCUGCUCAGGGAGACUUGAGUGAGUCCAGAUUUGCUAGGCAAACAAUUGAUAUUAUUUACAUUAUAAGCCAAUUAUUUAAUUAAAAAGGUAUUAUAUAUUUCUUCAUUUAAUACUUCAAACAUUCAUGAAAUGUGACAUUAUUAUUACUACUCUCCUGGGUAAAAGAGAUUAGGUUCAGAGAGCUGCAAGGCAGUGACAAGCUGAGAUCUGGGCUCAGGUCUCCAGCCUGUGGUCUUUCCAUAAUAUAUAAUAUCAAACCAAAAACUGAGAGAAGUUGGAGAUGUGACCCCAGUUGACCAUUUCAUAUUGGAACACUUUUUUUCCAUUCCUUUGCUUUUCUUUUUCUCCUAAAAAAAGCUGGGCUAUUUGACAAGAGUCCUCAAAAGAAUAGUUAACAAGAGAGAAGUCACUACCCUACUCUAAGAAAAAUGAUUGCUUAACUGUUGUAACUUUUACUUUGCCUGUAGAAUUCUACUUUCUGUUAUACAGAGUUAUUGGGCAAGAGGUAAAGGCAACAACAGGAAAUGAACUUAAACACAAAUAUAACUGAUCAUAUUUGGUUUAAUGAUAUCACAAGUUAUGAUAAAUAUAGACAUAUAGAAGAAUUUCAGUGUUUGAUACUUACAAGUAUCAAGACUAAGGUGUGCAUUUGGUGCAUUGGAUAAACAUUGGACUUGGGGAACUUGGGAGUUUCAAUUGUAUACUUUGCUUUUCCCUUUUUAGGCAUACAGUAUGGAAGGCUGCUGGUUGUUGCAGAGCUUGACUUUGUGAAUCAGAUUCUGUGCUUCCAAGGGAGCAGAAAUUAUGAGAAAAUGAAUGUGUUUUGUUACGUAGUACAGAAUUCAAGGUGAUUUCCCACACACAAGUCACAAACACCAUGGAACAACCUGUUGAAAUAAAGAGGAAGGAGUCAAGAUUUGGAGUGGGAAAACCUGGAAUCAGGUCCCAGUUUUACCCAACUACCAAUAUCAGACUGGAUCAAAUAAUUCUUAUCCCUGGUCAUGGUCAUCCAAUAAUUCUUAGCUCUGCUCAUGAUUUCUCAUCUGCAAAAUAGAGAUAUGGGCUUUGGGGAACUGUGAGUCUAAAAUAAGAUAGCAGAUACAAAAAGUUCACAGAAACUGCUAAGUAAUCAUAUGAAAUGUCGUCAUUGAUAGUAUUUUAAUUCACAUAAGAGGAUCAAGAGUAGCUGUCUUCUCAUUUGUCCUCACUUGGUAACUACAGGUCUUUAGUCUUUAUGGAUCUAUUAUAAUUUGUAUUCUCAUCUACCAACAAAUUAUGUGCUUUCUUAUCAAGUUUUUUAGUUGAGACUUUAUUCUUUGGAAGUCUCAGUUCAGGUUGAAUAUAUAAAGUGACAACUCAAUUUUUUUUUUUUUUUAGCAAAAUUUAGAAUGGAGGAGGGGGUUGACUAUGGAGGAGCCCAGCAGGGGUGUGGUGGAUGGUUAAAUUCCUGCUCUAAUACUUGCCAAGCAUCUUAAUUUACUCACCUAUAAAGUGGAAGGAUAAUUGAGGUAAUUAUCUCAUAGGGCUUUUGGGCAUUAAAUGAAAUCUGUGCCUAUAAUGUAGUGAGUGAUAAAUAUAUUUAUUACUGCUGUCAUUAGAAACUUGAAGUUCUUCUCAUAGCAAAGCCCCUUUGAUAGGGUCAAAGGCAGAGCUAUGUAAUACAAACUAUGUCAAAGCAUAUUCUAGAGAGUUGGCUGCUUACUCUACCAUACCUAAAAGUGUCUACCAGUUUAGUGGCUCAGUUAUUGGAAAGUUAGCUCUCUGCAGUCACUCUUAGGCUCUGAAAAUAAAUCUAUGUGAAUUUUAUUUGGUUUGAUUUAGUCAUCUUUCCUCUCACACAGGGUCAUAACCCAUUUCAUUAGUUUUUCAUAAAUUAAUACAUUAACUUUCAAAUUUCUAGUUAGUUUUCCCUCCUCUUCUCUUCCCUCCCCUGUUCCUUUGCUUUGCUCCCGCCAACCCAUCUCUCUGUCCAUCUCUACCUCCCAGCCUGAUUGCCAUCUUUCUCUCUGCCUCUCAGAAUCUGUGCUAGACCUGGCUGGAGCACAGACAAGUGUCAGACACAGUCCCUACCUACAGCCCAAGACAAGUGACAAAGUGGACAAAAGGUAGACUGCUAAGAAUCUCAAGUUACACCAGUGGUGUAGAGGAGGGAUGGCUGAGGGAGAUUAGGGAGGUCUUUGGGCUGAACCCCAAAGGCUGUCCAGGAGGUGGCCAUGUCAGCACUCAGGAAGGGAAAGAAGGAAUGUAUUCCAAGCUGAGAAGGAGCAGGGGCAAAGGUACAGAGGAGGACCACUCUUGAGGAAGAUGAAUCGAGGAGAUUUAGGACAACCAUUUUGCUAUCUCCUCCCUACUUUUAAUACUCAGAUCAAAUAGUCUUCAAGGAAAACCUGAGUAUGUCACCGAAAUAAUUCCCAACUGUGAUCUACAUUCCCAGGCAUUGAUUUCCUGGGCUUGAUUUCCUUUGUUAUCUCGCUUAGCUCCUAAGGUUUAUCAGUGGGUUUUAUGUUUAGCCUUUACCCAUUCAGAUAAUAACUACUGUCAUUAUCACAUUAGUCUCCAAGGGACCAUUGUGGUGUUUGUUAAUCUGGUGCUCUUCCUUCUAGCUUUAGUCUGUGAUGAAGUCACCAGUGAACUGCAAAGGGAAAUGGUUUCAAUUAGGGUCCUACAAGAAGGGACCUUCUUGUGCUCACUUCAGCAGCAUAUAUAUAUACUAAAAUUGGAAUGAUACAGAGAAGAUUAACAUGGCCCCUGUGCAAGGAUAACAUGCAAAUUCAUGAAGCGUUCCGUAUUUUAGGAAACUGAGACCCCACACAGUGUUCUUGAAGAAAUUGGAGCGACAUAACUCUCCUCCUUUGUUGAUGACUUCUUAUGGCAUUUUACACACUAUAGAUGGUCACUGCCUUCAUGUCCAUGUUAGCUAACAGUGUAAGAUGAUGUCUUGUCAGUAUGACUGUUUUGCUAAGCUGAUUAAUUCAGGCAUACAUUUUUUUUUAAAAAAGGGAACUUUGGUCAAUUGAAUAAUAAGGGACUUAAAUAUGGAUUAGAAAUAUGCAUAAAGUACCUUUCUUGGAUUUCUUAAAUUUAUAGGUCUAUUUCUAUUUAUCAUAACUGAUUAGGUGCAUAUAUGAAAAUGACACAUCUGUAUACAAGCAAUAUCUAUCAAACAAUUUGGCAGUAUACAUAUAUUAAUUACUGUAUUUGACAAAGGAAGAUUAAAUUAGAAUGUGAAGCCUGGUUCAAUGAAACAAAAGAUGAGUGCAGCAUUUCAGUAUAUAUGAUAAAAAUAAAGGGAAUUGACAUGUCACAUAUCGAAUGAAUGAAAAUUUAAUUGUUGAAAUUUACACAGAAACAAAUUUAUACCAAAGAACCCUAUUGGACACUACAUACCUUAAAAUAAAGGAAAUAUAGGUUAUUUUAGAUGAUUAAAUUGGAAUGAUGUCAUUUAAAAGUAGUAUCGAAGCAUUUGGAAUGAAUGGGACAAGCAACAGAGAUUGCUUCAUAAUAGCACAUAAUUUUUAAGGCCAAGGUACAUUUGACCUCUGAGAUGAUUUUGUGUGUAUAUGUAUGGGUCAUAAUCAUUUGGUUACUCAGUUGGAUUGUUUUUGAUGCCCCCAAAUGAAGCACAAAUGUUAAUUUACCAGUUGUUCAUGACAGUUUUCUUAAACAUUGCUCUCUUCACAGUGUGGUGUAAAGUCCUUGUUUGAAGCAUGCAUGUUCCUUCUGGGGUGCUUGUUCAAGCCGACUUUAUUUUGCUUCCCUAUUGCUUCCUUCCAAUUAGAAGUGCUGCAAACUUUACAGCAGCUUCCUUUCUUUGCUGGGCACUACCUAGUUAUCAGAAGUUGUAUAAAAAUCUUAAAGAGGCACCUUUCAUUUAGCAGUGAGAGUCACAGUUAAAUGGCAUUAGGUGGCUCUAUUGUUUUUAAAGCUUAUAUAAUUGUUCAGCAUCACUUUUAUACAAACUUACACAAAUAUAAACAUGUUUUCAUGACUUACACUUUCACCUGAAUAUCCUGGGCUGGAUUAACCUUUGUUGUCAUUGUGACCAACAUGCAGGCCAUGCGAGCACUGUCCUAUCCCCUCGCCAAUUAGCUGAAAUAAAUGUUCAACAUUUGAAAAAUAAAAGAGGUGGGGGGACCUUGGAUCCUGGCUGUGCUAACAUCUCCACAGUUACCUCUGGGCACGUUCAUUCAGGCAGCCAGUCUUUUUUAUCUGUUCAUUUUACUCUCAUGAAGCUGGUCUCUGGGCUCCACACUGAGGGGGAGAUAAAAAACAAUAAAACAUGGUUCCACUUUCAAGGUGAUCUGGAAGGACUAUAGAGAAUAUAAGCAGAAAAUAAUUAGGAGCACAAGAGAGGGAUGGUUAAAAUCUUUUGGAGUUGGCAUAGUGACUUUUUUCUUUCCUCCCGGUGGGAUUGUAAUCAAGAGACCCUCCUGAAAGAGGUAGACUUUCAGACAAGCCUAGAAAGAUGGGGAUGAUUUAAUUGAUUUGGUUUUCUCACCUUCAGAGAUCCACAGAAACCUAUGGAAUACUUGUUUUUCUUCCUGUGAAAUUCUGCAUGUGGCUGAAGCCCUGUGGACAGAAAGACAGUGGAGGAAAGUAGCCCUUAGCUGAGCAUGUGCCUCCCGACUACAGAUCCCUUAAUAAGAUGGCAACCCUGGGCUGGGGUUGUGACUCAGCGGUAGAGCACCUGCCUAGCAUAUUCGGGGUCUUAGGUUCCAUCCUCAGCACCACAUAUGAAUAGAUAAAAUAAAGGUAUUGUGUCUAACUACAACUAAAAAAAAAUAUUUUUAAAAAGAUGGCAAACCUUUCUCCCCUCCUAAUUCUAUGCCUGCCAUCUUUCAAAGGCAUAUCAUUUUGUCAAAAAUGUUCACUAACUCCAUAAACUUACAGAAUUAUAUUAAAACAAUGUUUUUCAGAUUGAAUUUUAGCCUGAGGGAUUCUCUUAACAUCACCGGGGUUUUGAUGUCUGUUUCCGCAGGAUGAAUUCCAAACUUACUCUUCGAAAAAGGUAGUGUGGAUCCACCUGUCAACAUUAAGCAGCACAUUUGGUCUUACCCCUGAUCACCCUCUCAUUACAGAUGAGGAGUUUAUCAUAAAUAGAGCCAUCAGAAAGCCAGACCUAAAGGUAAGUAAAGUUAUGGCUAUGGCUGAUGCCAGAGAAAUUUAACCUUCCCCCUUCCCAUAUAUAAGGUUAAACUUGUCCAUCACUGUACUAAUUCUCAAUCAACAGGAUAGGACCUUGUAAAGGACGUGCACCUGAAACCACACAGAGCUCAGUUCAAAUCUGAGCUUCAGCUUCUAAGCAGUGCAAUCUUGUAUAAAUUUCUUAACUCUGUUGAACCUCAGGUUUCCUAACUAUAAAAGAGUAAUGAUGCCUAUCUCUAAUAUUAAUUGAUAAAAUUUAACAAAGAUCAAUAUAAUGCCGGGUACAUAGUGGGUGCUCAACACAUGUCAGCUAUGAAAAGCAUUGGUCCCUGUUUGAUAAUGUGUAUAAUAGAGUUAAUCUUACAGUAAAGGUAAUCAUCCACGAGUAUUCCAUGGAGUUUGCUCAUAUCUGCAAAAUGACCUUAUUUUUAAUUGUGUCAUUCAAAUGGACAUGGGUUACUCCCUUUUUGCUUUAGUUGUGACUAGCUAACAUUCAUAUUUAAAAUGCAUUUUGUAAGAAUCUUUUAUAUUUCUAUACACUUAGCUGUUUAAAUUAGUUUUAUGAGCUCAAGUGUAAUUUUUUUAAAUAAUAAAAAAUCAAUUACUGAGGAGUUUCUCUGUUGCCAAUUGUUCCCACUCAGUUGUGUUGACUGCCAAAAUAAACAAAACCAAGAGGUCAGGCACCCUCCAGGGACAGAUUGCCUCACCUCAGGUGGCCAUUCACCUGGAGAAGUCCUGGGCCUCAGAGCUUUGUUGCCUGAAAUUCUAGCCUGUUUAGUUGUAUUAAUAAAUAAGGAAAAAGACAAUGAAGACAUUCUCAAAUAAACAAACAAUGUGAGGAAGGACAGAGGUCUUGAAAUGAAGUUUAGAUACGCCAGCAUGAAGUCUUCAUUUAUCAGCUUAGCACGGGGGAGUUUGGCUGGUUACUGCCUCCCUGAGGCUUGAGUUUCUUAUUUAUAAAAUAAGAGUCAAAAUCCCUUCUCUGCCUGUUUCUCAGGGCUGUGAGCCUAAAUGUGAAAAUGGAUAUUAAGUUGAUCUCUGAAUUACAACAGACUAUAUUCUUAGGAAGGUUUAAAACUUUCACUAAAGUCAGAGGAAAUGUCAUGGGCUCAGCCAUGAUGACACGAUGGGAACUUUAAUGGGGUAUGUGGAGACUGCAGUAAAGAACUAUGUCAGGUUUUCAAAUGCAGGUUAAGAGGAGACUAUAAGGACCAUUUUGUAGGAUUGCAGGUAAAACUGAAAUCCAGUACUUCACCUGAUAGGGGUACACUGUUACAUAUUCCAACAAGAAAUGAAGAGUGAGAAUUGUGGGAAGAGGACAUUUUCCAGAUUACUGAGCAGAAAAGUGAAAUUCACCCCACAAUAGAUACUUGAUCUCCUAGCUACUGUUUUCUAGUUUGAAGUUUCAGGAAAUGGGCAAAUAAAUUUACGCCUUGCAAAUGUUAUACUUGACAUCGAUUACUAGUUUCCAGAAGCUCUGAGGGUGAUGGCGGAAGCAGAUAAACUCUAGGCAGAGGUGCUUCCUGCUAGGGGGAAUCUCAGAGGCGCUUACAAGGUCUACAGUGGAGUAGUUCUUCUCACUCUCUGAGGAGUGACUUCAGAAAUUGUCAGAAGAAAAUGGAAUCUGUUUUCUCACUUGAGGUGAAACUCACCAGGAACCUGUGUUCCUCAUUGUUGCUGCCUUCAUCUGUAGAAGUUUUGUGUCUAUUAUGUUUUAUAAAUUUCUCAGUCUGUGGCUUCACAGCCUCUUGGUGCAGGUUCUCUAACUGAGGCAGGGGACCUCACAUUCCACCAGUGUGUCCUUUAACAUUUUUCUAACACAAUUUUCAAAUAUAUGGAAUUUAAAAAGUAGGCAACUCUUAAUCUAUACAUCUUGAACCCCAAACUUAAGGGAUUUUUAGAUUUUCUUUUGCGACUAACUUGAGUCUUCUAUCCUUUACAAGACUGAGUUUUGAAAACAUGUGCGCUGGAGCUAAGAUUCAAGCCUUGUGAGUGACAUAAUCACAGUGAACAUUAGGUACAAAGCAAAAAUGAAAUUAGUGUCUGCCUUAUCACAGGAUGAUAAGCUCUAAAUUCUCAGAAAUAGUAGCCAUAAUUAGUAACACUAUUUCAAAACUGCAGGGAAUACCAAAAAGGAAACCAAGUUAUGAGGCAAGAAACCUGAGGGUCCAACAUGGACCAUGGUAGCUAACAUGCCUCAGGCUGAUCACUUUUCAAAUACUCUUUUUCCCUUUCAAUUUGCAGUGUAUGUGAAAAGUAUCAUCCCCAAUGACAAUAGGGUAUGUUCUGAAAUAAUUCAUUUUGCAACCAAUCUCAUUGAAGUACAUUUCAUUCUGUAAAAUUUAAAAAUAUGGCAUCUAACACUCUUGGUAACUAUCAAAUAUGUGUGUGUUUGUACUUAUUGAGUAGGAUUACCAUUCAUGUGAGGUAACCUAGGUCUUAGACCUUAGAGACUUAAACUCUAGUUCUAGUUGAGAUGUGGUUUAACAAAGCAUUCAUUUGCUUAUUUAAUAAAAAAAAUGUUUUGAGCAAUUAUUAUGUACCAGCUAUAUGAUCAUUUCAGUCUUUAACUACUCUGAAGAAUCACCUCAGAAAUUGUUAGAAGAAAAUGGAAUCCAUACAUACAUACAGAAUUUAGAGAAAGAAACUGAAAAAGAACUUAGGGAAAUUUAGUAGAAGUUCUCAAGGACACAAAUAUCAGAGUUGCCACAAAAGAAAGUCUUGAAUACUGUUCUUCAACCUUGGCUGUACGUUGGAAUUACCUGCCCCAGGUACACUGCAGACAAACUAAAUUAGAAUCUCUUGUUAUGGGACCCAGACAACAGCAAUUUUUCAAGUUCCUCAGAAGCUUCAAACAAGGAACCUGAGGUUAUAACCACAUCAUAUCAAUCAUAUGGCUUCACAUCAAUAUGGAAGUUCCACUGUUUUCUCUCUGUGAUUGGCGAGCUCACCAGUUCAUGGGAAUUCAGAUUCAAACCUAAAGUUUCUUACACAAAUCUAAAGUAUGAAAGAACAAUAGUGAUAAGCAUUAAUCCUCCUUUUUUUCCAUUACCAACACCCUCAAAGCCUCAUUUUCUGGAGCAUAUUUUCUUUCAAUAACUUCCUCUUUCCCCUUUAGUAUCUGCUGCCAGCCUAAUCUUCUUUAGUGCCACUUCUUUAGGUUACUGCACAAAUCUAUUGCCUGUGAGAGAAGGUUCCAGAUACCUCAUCCUAGCCUUGAAGGCUGCUCUUAAUGUAGUCUUUAUUCUGCAGUUGAAUAGUGCUACCUUCUUGCCUCCUCCCACUCAACUAUUUGUGCACAAUUUCUUUGAAAUUCUCUCUUCACUUCUCAUCUGAGCAAAAUCUUUCCAACCCUUCACUGCUGCAGUUCAGAUGUCAUCUCUUCCAUGGGCCCUCUGUCAUCUGCCCUCUCUAUAUUUCUACAACAUUUUAAGAAUAUUUUUAAACUUAAAAUAUUUUCAUUUCUUUGACAUACACAUACUAGACUAUAUGGCAUAGUUUUCUUUUGGGAAAUGUAUUUUGUUUCCUUAUUAGGAUAUAAGGUAAUGGAAUGUAAAGAUUGAGAUUUUGUUAUUCAUAUAUUUAUCUGUAUAGUAGGCCUGUGAUACAUGUUGAUUGAUGAUUUCUAAUAAAAAUGACAUUUGUGGAGCAGGAAAGAAUAGGAUAAGUUUUAGAAAAGAAAAUCUUAGUUCUAAGUAUUUAAGUUCUAUCUUUGCUUCUUUAUAAAUGCUUCUUUAGACACUGAAUUGCUGCAUAUUCACCCAAUCUACAAACUGGAGAUUUUCUUAAUACAUUUUUCUUGCAGGUGAGAUGCAUAAAGGUGCAGAAAAUGAGAUACGUUUGGAAUAACUUAGAAGGACAGUUCCAAAAAGUUGGGUAAGUUGUUUUGGCAAGUGCAUUGAAAGAAGAAAAAUGUUAUCUCAAAAAUGUUAUUGCUAAAUACAUCCUUCUCAUUAUUAUUUUAGCUCGUU
rnacentral:lncRNA from 1 species